AAGAAAGAGAAGAGCAUGUCAUUUCAAGUAAAUCCACAAUAUAUAUAUAUAUAUAUAGAGCCAAAAAUUGCAACAUUAUACGGAGGAAAAAGGGGAGCAAACAAAGGUUAUACAGAGAAAAUAUAUUUAUGAACAUUUAAAAAGAAAAAUGAGUUGAAUUGGAGUAAUUGUUUUUAAUUACUUCUAGUCAUAUUUGAUUUAUAUCAAAUAAUUUAUUUUUUGGACAAAAAUUGAGCAUUUUGUUUUUUUGGUGUAAGUUAAAGAGGCAAAAUUGUAUGAAAAGUUAAUUUUUAGGCAAAUUGUAUGUUGUCUCCAAAUUCAGGGGAUAAGUUGAACUUUAUUUCAUCAAAUAAAACCACUUCCAAAUAAGCUUAUACUCCCUCUGUCUUAUUUUGUUUGCUUGUUAUUAUUUUUUUGGAUGUUCCAAAAUAUUUGCAAGGUUUCUAAAUUUAAACAUGUAAAUAAUUAUUUUGCCUAUAAUAACCUUUGUAAUUGUUCAUAAAAUGAUGGACUUUUUAGUAUCUUAAUGAGUUAUUAAGUGUAAAGAAGCGCAAAAUAGCUUUUAUUGACUAAAUUAUUAAUAUUUGUGUUUUGUCAAACCAUGCAAAUAAAAUGUAACAGAAAGAGUAUUUAUUAAAAAAAUUAUAAUUAAAAUCAUAACAGGGGAAUAAAAAUUUUAGUGCAUUAGAGGAAAAAUUCACCCAUGUACGCUUAAAUUGAAUUUUGGUCUAAUCUUAUGUGCACGCGUCCAAUUCCUUCAACUCUUUACAAGCCUAAAACUAUGAGUUUUACCUAUUAAAUUACUUUCUUAUCCCUACCGUUUCUUUCUUUUUCUUCUGCAUUCUGAACAAUGUGUGAAGAAAAUUCACAUUGAUUAUUCAUAAAAUAUUAAUAUUUAAAUAUUUAAAAUUCAGACAUUUUAAUUUAUGAUGAAAAGAGAAUACAAAAUUCUAGCAGCUUUCCAAGUCAUCAAAUGGCCAAAUGCAGUGGAAUCAUCAUUUUUAACUACUGGAUCUAUACUAUAUAUUAACAAUUUCAAUUGGAUCAAGAUCAUGUGUGACUGCCUAGGAAAAGCAAGCUUUGGCUAUUAUAUACCAAACCUACAUCAGAAAAAUAAUAAAAAAAAACAUUUAAUUAAUCUAUUAAGCACUGAAAUGAAACAUCCACGAUCUUUCUUUACCACGUGUGUAUAUAUAUAUAUAUAUGUUUUUGCUAUUUUGAAAUGAUCAUAUAUAUACCUAACUUCUUGUUUUAUAAUUUAAAAAGAUUUGGCUUGCUGUGCUAGAAUGUGUUUGUCCCCUAUUUAGGAAGCCUGGUUGUGCAAGUUUCAAAGGUCACUAAAAUUUGAUUGCCAAAGCAUCUAAACCUAAUUGCAACUUGCUAUUAUAUGUGUAUAUUUUCUUGAUUCUUCUCUUUACAAUUUGUAGCACGUAUUGUUAACAUGUGCAAUGCAUUGGGGAAAGUACUAAUUAGUGUUCAUACAAAAACACUAAUAAUUGAUUUAUAUACGAAACAUCCUAGAUUGUUCCUUUGCAUUCCCAUGGUGUCUGAAUGAUUAUAUGUCUUCUUGAUUAUGUUUUCAUUACUAUAUUCUAACCUAUAAGCAUAUUGUAAGUAUGGAUAUAAAAUCCGAUCUGUCCGAUUCAACCUACAAAUUUGAAAAUUGUGUUUUCAUUACUAUAUACUAACCUAUAAGCAUGUUGUAAGUAUGGACAUAAAAUCCGAUCUGCCCGAUUCAACCUACAAAUUUGAAAAUUGAUAGAACGAGCGUGUUGAUCAAAAUUCGUUUUAACUUAAAAUCCAUUGAUAAUUAUUCUAUUUGGCCAAAUUUAAUUAAAAAAUAGCCAACUUUAUCCAAUUUAAUUUAUUUAUUAGAAUAAUUAACAAAAUGAAUCUUAUUUUGAAAACAUGAUCUGGUAAAGUUUAAUUUACAGGUUAAGUUUAAUUUAAUUUACAAUUAAUUUACAGGUUAAGUUUUUUACUGAGUUGGGCUAGGUAUGUUGGGAGCAUAUGAUUAUCGGUAUGUUUAAACCAAAGGGAUGACAAUUCCUUUUUCCUUUUUGCUUGAAACAAUGGCGGUAGACCCAACUGCAGUGGACAAUUUAGAUUCAGUUGUUUGAAGUUCAAAAAACAAAACAUUCGGUUGAGUCGGUGACCGCUUCGUGUCGGUGACCUCACAAAGGGCCGUUAACAUGUCGCAUUGAUGUGGCAGGUUCACAGCCUGUACUGCCUGCCAGAUUGUCAGUAAUCAUCCCCUUACUCCAAAUCCGCAUUUCUCCGUUGUCGUUUUUUCCACGUCAUCAAUUCCGUGUACCUCAAAUGACUCUGUUACCAAAAACAAACAAAAUCCAGAAACCAACAAAAAAAAAAAAAAAUCAAAAUGCUAUCCAGCCUGUCUCUCAGUCAAACUUAUCUUAACCGCCAACAUCCGCUCAUUUUCUCGCGAUAUUUUCCCGUUGUUAACCCCCUUUCCAUUUCAGCAACUUCCAUAACUGUAAUUAACAGUCUCCUAAGGAAACUGUGACGAGAGAAACCUUUCAAAUUCCCAAUUUUGCCGAGAUUUUAGUUUUCAGAUUCUCUAGCAAUCCAAACCAGUUAUACAGCUGUAUAAUCUCCUACUGGUAACCGGGAAAUACCAGUUUAUGUAACGCUUAUUACACGUAUCAGUUAACCGGCUCCAUCAGUUACCCUAACCCUCUCCUUUAUAAGCACUCUCCUAGUAUAACCGUUCUCUCUAUAUGUCCAUCACCGCCUCUCUCUGUCUCUGUAUUCUUUUUCUCGUAUCAAUGGACCAACAGUCUAUCAUAGAUCGGGUCAAGGGCCCGUGGAGUCCUGAAGAGGACCAACUGUUGCAGAAAUUCGUUCAACGACACGGAGCGCGAAACUGGUCGUUGAUUUCCAAAUCGAUUCCUGGUCGAUCCGGAAAGUCUUGCCGUUUAAGGUGGUGCAAUCAGUUGUCUCCGGAGGUAGAGCACCGACCUUUUACGCCUGAAGAAGACGAGAUCAUUAUUAACGCACAUGCUAAACAAGGCAACAAGUGGGCCACCAUUGCUCGCCUCCUCAACGGCCGUACGGAUAACGCGAUCAAGAACCAUUGGAACUCUACUUUGAAGAGGAAAUACUCGGCGGCGAUGUCAGAAGAUGGAACGACCGAUCGACUUCAACCGCCAGCGAGAAAAUUUGCUAAAAUAACGUCUUUUUGCAAUAGUCCUUCUCCUUCUGGAUCUGACGUCAGCGAUGUGGGUUUGCCAGUGACGUCAUCGUCUUCACAUCACAACCAGGAACAAAACCUGUUUCAUCGGAGAGCUGGCGUUAUGACAACGCCACUCUCGUAUCAGGUUGAAUCAACACCGCCUCGAGAAAGUGAGACAUCAAACGACGACGAUCUUUCGACGGAGCUGACAUUAUCACUGCCAGGAAAAGGCUUCUAUGGAGAGUUACUGAGUCGGCGAGAAUCCGAUUCCCAGGAGUUACCAAUAAAAUGUAUUGAGAAAACGAUGACGUUUAAGCCGGAGUUUUUGACGGUUAUGCAAGAGAUGAUAAGAAAGGAAGUGAGGAAUUACAUGGCGGGUGUUGAAAAGGAUAUAUAGUUAGCUGUUAAACGUUAUUAACAUGAGAUUAACUAUAAAACGGAACCUUUUUCAUAAUUUUUUUUUUUUCCUGGUGAAAAAAAAGGACUGUACAGCAAAAAAUAGAGCCUUAAAGCAGGAAAACAAAUUCAGAUUUUUUUUUCAAAAGUUACUUUUUAUUACACUCUUUUCUUCGGUAGUACGGUUGCGUACUAUUGUAGUACUACAAUAUUUGGGACGCUUUUCCGUUCUGGGAGUGGCUGGUGACUUGAUAUUGCACAGUAGUCAUAUGUUAUUGGUUUGUGGUUUUAAAUGCAUGAUAUAUAUAUUUUUUGAAAUACAUGAUAUUGUAAUAUACUUAUUUAAUUAUUUAAUUUUUAAUAAUUUAAAUAUUGACACUCACUAUACCUAAAAUAGCCUUAUUGUCACAACCUUGAUCAAUAAUUAUAUUUUAUAAUGUUUUUAUUAAUUUCAAAUUAUAUAAAAUCUCUUUUUUUUUAAAAAAAAACCAAAUAUUUUUUCACAUGAUAACUAAUGAAUUUGAAAGUUUUCAUAAAUUACUAUUUAGUGUUAAUAGAAUAAAAUUUUCACUUGCAAUAAGGAUAUUAUACAGUAUUAAGUUAACAUAAUAUAUGUCUUGUUUAAUAUAAAUAUUUAAACAUGACCAUAUCCUAAUUUUAAUUUUCUAAAAUUAAUAACAAAUAAAGUGUCUUAGACCAAAAUAGAUGACAAUAUACCAAUUAAAUUACACCAAGUAAUGGAAUUACAAAAUUUUAAAUAGUUUAAAAAAAAAAGUUUCAAAUUCCCAAUAUUUCCGUUCAAGAAACUAUUACUUCAGUGUAAUAAUUUUAUUUGUUUCAUUCAAAAAUAAUAAUCCAUCAUUUUAAAAUUAUCAGAAAAUUUUAGGUUUAAAAAAUACAAAUGGAAACCUUAAUUAUUAAUUAACCAUAACACGUUUGAAAUUGAAAUUUAUUUUAAAUAUUAAUCUUUUUACCUUCAGAAUCUAUUUUUAAGACUCAAGAUUAAGAACAGAAGGCGGCACUAAGGUUUGGCAAUUUAACAUGUCAACCAAACACCGGUGAUACAUAUCAAAACAUAGAUCAAUUUAUUUUAAAUAUAAAUAAAUAUCGUAAUUUUGAAGUAUUAUUAUUAAUUAAUUAGAAAAUAACUUCAAAGCAGGAUUUAAGUUGCUACUAUUAUUUUUUUCAGAUCCAAUCCACAGGGGUGUCUCCUAGUUCUUACUAAUAGCUGGGCCGAACAAUUGGCCCAAAAUUGCCCCAUCAGGUAGUCAUUUUGGAGUCUGGACCCUGGAGAGGAGAGGGGAGAAGGAUUAACACCAAAUCGUCGACUCGUCGUCGUUGUCGUCGUUUUACCAUCUCAAUAGAAACGAAAAAGUUUCUCCUCAGAUCGUCGAUCAGGUAUCUGCCCGCCUUCCCUGAAAUCGAAGUAGGCGGAGGAGAAGAAGAAGACGAAGAAGAAGAAGAAAGAACAGCAUAGCUGCUUAACAAAGAAAAGGAAGAGAGAUGUUGCCAACGUCGUCGAAAGCCCGUACAUCCUUUUCUAGUUCUCGACCUAACUCCAUGUUUCCUCAGUACCUCCGUCGAAUUGUCAAGGUCUGCAUCUCUUCUCUCAAGAUCUGAUUUCCAUUCUACUUUUAACUUCUCAUCUCAGUUGGAUCCAAUAGUUAAUAAUAUUUCAAAAUUUCUCACCCAUUGCUUGCAAAUGUUGAAUUAGCCUCUGCAACCUUAAAUCAUGAAAUUGUGAAAUUCGCCGUGUCCGGAUCACAAUUGGCAAUGGGAAUUGAUUAGUAGUUAAACGUUUUUAUCAAAGCUUACUGCAAUUUGGUAAUAAUUAUUGAUGAAUGUGGUUGUGUGUAUAUAUAGCAAUUUUGCUUUUGGCCUCUCUUGCAUGAGUUUAUGAGCAUCAGUAUUGUAAAUUAAUCUAUUGAUUUUGUACUUAACAGUUAUUUUAUUUUAUAUUAAUUGUUUUGGCUCAUUGUUCAUUGUAGUGGCAACAAAUGGAUAUUGAAUAUACUUUCUGGCAAAUGCUUCACCUUUGCACCUCACCAAAAGUUGUGUAAGAUUCCUUCUUAUUUCUGUCUCUCUUCACUUUCGCCAUGAUUGGUUUUAGGGUGUAGUUCAUGAUCAUCUUUUUUAUGCGUUUUCUUUUGUUAUUAGAGCUAAAUAAAUAAAAAAAAAAAAUCCAAAAAUAUAUUUCAAGUAUCAGUUGAUAUACAUAUUCCAUUGUCAUUGUAUAAGUUAUGAUACUCUAUGGAAGAUGUUUUCAAAAUUCAAAACAUCCCAAACGCUGACACCAAUAAUGGAUUAUGCAUGGUUGGGGAAAAUGAACUUAUAUUUUAUGCAUAUUAUAUGGGAAGAGAGCUACAUACAGUGGAGGGAGAAGAUAGAAUUCUGUCUGUUCUUUCUAAAAAAAUCAUUUUUAAAAAAAAAAAUCUCAAUUUGGUAUUCAAUAAAUUGACACUUUUGACCUGGCUGUAGUUGACACAAUAUUGAACUAGGUUAAUAGACAAUUGACCAUAAACAGUGGUUGCAAAUGAUACAUAUGUUUCUUAGGUCAUUAAUCCAAGUCAUCAUUCUAUUUUUGUAUGUAUCUUUAGAGACUAACCUUCCAGGAGGAAGAACAACUAAUGGAUGCUGCCUUACAUUUUCCUUGCUUUUCAAGCUAUCAUUUUAUUGCUCAUUCUUUGGUCAUGUCUAUUUUCCAGUAUUACUGGAGACCAAAGUAUUCUCAACGUAAUAUUUUUUUUCUUAAAGAUAAUUAUAAUGGUGAUUUUGGAUUGCUGCAAAAGGCUAUUUUUUACUGUUGAAAGUUAUUUUUCUUUGCUUCAAAAAAUUUCACAGUUCAGCGGAAACUGUCUUUUCUGAUUUGUGAGUUCAAAAUUCAGAAUCUUCUCAAGUGCAUUUAGUCAUUCACCCCUUCCUAUGUUUCCGAGGCCCUGGGUAAAGCCUUAACCUAUUUAUGUUUAGUGAAAGAAUUAUAAGCAGCAUGAUUAAAUGGUGUUGUUGUUUACAAUGUGGAAAACUUAUCUAUAAGCUGAUACAGUCUUGUGUGUGUAUAAGCUUCCUAUUGGUUCACUAGUUGGAAAAUUUCUAAUCAAGUAAUUUUGGAUUUUGCAUGUGUUUCUGGAUGAUGUGGCAGCUAUCAGCACACUAAAUAUCAUAAACGUAAGUUGAUUAUCCCAUUGAAGAACCUUAUUUUAUUUUUUGUAGGGGAUCUGGAAAAGAACUAUUUAUGGGGCUACACUACGUGAUUACUUGUAUUUUGUUUUCCAGCAAAACUUUACGCUCUUUUUUUAGAAAAUUUUUUACCAUUAUGAUUUAAUUCGUAGGCUAUCAUAAUAGUAUACUAUGAUUUUGUGUUAGAGACGAGAAAAAUAUAUUUCAAAUUUACAGCAACCUCCAUAUGCAGUAGAACCAAAUAAUUAGAUGCUGUUCAGUAUUGUUUUAAGGGAUAAUUUUGCUGUUGGCGUCUGAUUCUUUUCCAAUUUUUUAGUGCUUAAUUUUUUGUUUUUUUGUUUUUACAAUCAAGUGUUUGAACGGAAAAAUUUGUUCAAUAGGUGCAUUUGGCCGGAUACUAUAAUGGCCUAAUUUACUACCUCUCCACUCUAUUCAUUGCCCUCAAUUUUUCUCUCACUCUCUUUCUACUGCAUUUUCUCUCAGUUUGUUGAUUUUUCUUGGAAAAUUGAAGAGAAUUUGAGAGAGAAAAAGUGGAAGGGGAAAGGAUGAAUGGAAUGGAGGGUUACAGGAAGUUUUUUGAAAUAUGCUUAAUCAUCAUGGCUUGUUCUCAGUCUAUGUCAUAUGAUUGCUUUUUUAGGAUAACAAGCUGAUGUGUCAAGUGAAUAUCUUUCUUGCUGGUAACUAUGAUUCUUCUGUUCUAUGAUUAUAUCCUUCACUUCUUUUAGAGGAUCCACAGCUUGAAUUGUUAGCUUUGCAGUUGUGCAAAAAUUCCUGAAAUUUUUCUUGUCGUUCUUGGAAGUUGUCCUUGUCAAGUGUUUCUCUAAGUGUUAUAUUUUAUUUUAUGUGUCCUAAGACAAUGAAAUAUGAAGUUCAGCUGAACAUACAGAAAUUCAAUGAUAUUGUUGAAAUAUACAGGAAAUCGUUGUGAGAACAGAAAUUAUUAGAAGGUUGGUUACCAUAUAAGAUGAAUGAAUCUACUAGUACUAGUGUGAUAAGUUUUCAAGUAACCCUUUAAAACCUUUACUGUACAUUCUCAUUGACGAGAUGCUUAAUAGCUUUUUCUUUUUUGGUAUAUGUACAAACAAUAGUACAAAGGAAAAUAAACUUAAAAGGUAAAAAUAAAAGUCCACUUCUAUGGGUUUUGAAAUAAAAAUAGCUGGAAAAUAGCAUUUGUUCUCAUAAAAUGGAUUGUGUCAUUAAGCAAAGUAAGAUUGAAAUAAAGUAACUGUACAUUAAAUUUUCUCUGCACUGUAUCUAGCCUUCCAAUAAUAAGGAUGAUAUCUGGUGUUCCAAUAAUAAGUGUGAGGUAUUGAUUUCUCCUCUUCAGAAGUAGUGUAAGUUUUCAGAUUAUAAGCAAAUAAGCCUAUUUGGUAAGUUUAGGAAGAAAAUUGUAGGAAACAGUAGUAUCAGUUAUUCUUGUUCUUGUCAGUUCUAGUGUAUAUGUAUUGUGUUAAUAUUCCCACAAGGUUAAUGUUGGUGGAAAUUACACAAGUAUGUUGCAAUAGCAUUAAUGUUGGUGGCAAUUACAUAUCCCAAAUGUGCAUAGGUAGAAGAAAAAAAGUUCAUGUUCUUAGUUAAUUUUUUUGCCAUUCAUGCAAUUGUUGAAUGAAUUUUCUGUUUGAGGAUGUUUCUGGUAAUUUUUUCUUCCUCUUGUUUGAGGUAACAUUGGCAACUUUUGCUACUAGUAAAUAGGAUAAAAAUUUGAAAUGUUGCCUUCCCUUUUGGUGCAGAAACUAAGAAUCAAUGGGCACGUGAUGAUCCAGCUUUUGUUGUAAUCUGCAGUCUCUUAUUGGCAGUUGCCACUCUGGCUUAUUGUGCGGCGUAAGUUGCUUUCUUCCUUCCUGUGAGUACUAGAAAAUGUGAUGAACUGCUGUUAUGAUAUCAGUAAUUAAUAAGUGAUACUAAGUUAUUGCCUGGUUUCUGCGAGAAAUCCUUUCGGGAACUCUUGUUAGGGGCUUUAUUCUAUGAUGAAUUUGAAGUGGUUAUUAUGUGUAUGCAUGAUUGCACAAUGCUAUGUAUUGGAGUUUUGAUAUCUAACUUUUGCAAAGCAACUUUGCACGUGCAUCAGCAGGCAAUGCUGCAAGCUUUUCAUUUUAUUUUAUUUAGUCUUUUAGAUGAUGAUAUUGAGAAACAAUGGCCUACAGCAUGCUCUUGGGUUAUUUGAGUAAACACCAGGUACUUCGUUGCCCACCUUUUACCAGUUGCUGGUAAAUGAUGGAGCCAAUUAUAGGAUUUGAAACCAUUCUGACAGCUUGUAGAGAAAGCCUGCUAAUGAGAUUAUUGUGGCAGGGCCGAGUCAACAGUUAUUUUCUUAUGUCUAACUUCCAAAUUAAGCAAGUUUACAAUCAUUUUCUUUUGGGAUUAUCUAUCUUUUAUUUUACUGUUAGAGAUUUCUCUUUUCUACUGUCUUAUCCAUGAGUUUUGUUGUUCCCCGCUUUACAAAAUCUCAUCUUCUUAAUCUCUUCUUUUUAUUUCAGGUAUGACCAUAGUGCUGCACAUGCUGUUUUUGUAGUUGUUUCUGUAUUACUUUUCCAUUUUUUAGUUACUGGAGCAGUUCUGGCUACAUGUUGUUGGUGAGCCACCACCCUUCCUACUAAAUAUAAUUUUGAAUGCCAACAACAAUGGAUUGUGUCACCAUCUUAAAUGCUCAUGUAUUGGUUAUAAAGUUAGCAGUUUCAAUAAGCAAAAUCUGCAUUUCAAAAUCUUGUCUCUUCUACUUCCAAUCACUUUCAAGUUUUUUUGUGUGCUCUGUUUUUAUUUGACAUCAAUUAUAUGCUUCCAUAAAGGAAUAAAGGUCAAUUUGAUCCCUGAACUUGUUUAGCACGGUAAAAAAGGUCAGAUUUGACCUUUUGGGCCAAUUUAGCUCUUGAAAUUUGUACAAAAUGAUUAAAAAGACCGAUUUCACUUUUUAGGCCAAUUUAACCCUUGAGCCUGUUUUGAUUUUUAUAAAUUAAUAAUUGAUUUAAUUUAAUAUGAUUGAUUUUUUAUCCUUUUUUGUCUUACACUAAGAACACUCGGAUCAAACUUUUGAGGGGUUAAAUUGGGUUAAAAAGUAAAAUUGGAUCUUUUUAAUUAUUUUAUACAAGUUCAAGGGCUAAAUUGGUCCAAAAGGUCAAAUUUGACCUUUUUGAUCAUGCUAAACAAGUUCAGGGACCGGAUUGGCCUUUAUUCCUUCCAUAAAUGCAAACAAAUGAAGAAUAAAAUGGAAACUAUGAGAGAGAAAUUGAAACAUCUAUUGUCUAAUGUCAAACUAGGAGGUUGAAAUUGAAACAUCUUAAACAAGGACAUAAUUGAAACUACAAUGAAAGUUGACGGUCAAAUUUUGGCAUUCCACUUAUCAGCGGAAGUUUCACUCAAACAGGAUUAAUUGAUAAAUUGGAAUUUAGGUAAAUACGUUAGAAUUAGUGAAUUACUUUCAAUUGUUGUCUCUAGUUUUCCAAAUUGUUUCACAAUCUGGAUGUGAAUUAAUUGCCUUAGUGGUGUCUGGACUUUUCUGAGAUUCCAAUGCUAAUUACAGAAUGCAAUUCCGGGUUUUCUCAUCCCUAAUAAGUAGAAUUUAAGAUAUAUAAUUUUGCCUCUUUUUUGUAGGAUUCAAAAUUAAAAUUUCAUUUCUUGAAUUCCUUAAUUUGCAUAUUUGGUUAGACCUUGUAUAUCAUUUGUUUCAGCAUGCUGGCAUGAUUGUUGUUCCAUUUGUCAAUUCCGUUCAGGUUCCUGACUAAUGCAUACCUUAAGGAGGAGGCUCCAAAUAGCCAUGUGGUUGAGCAACGAGUUGAAUGGCAAGUGCAGAAACUUUUUGAUUCCCACUACUUUGGAAAUAUGUUUUCAGUAACGAUGAGCAUGGGAAAACUUGUUUGUAUAUGCUUACAACUUUUUGCAAGUUGCUAAGAGGUUCAGUAUUUAAAAUUUCUGACUUCCUCUCUUUUGUUUCCUUCUCCUCUUUGGUUGAAGGCUUUAUGCAUUUGACGUGCACUGCAAUUCUUUCUUCCCAAUGUUUGUUAUGCUUUACGGUAAUUGCUACUUCUGUAAUUUUUCAAUCCUCAGGUCUUUCUACCAGAAUGUUAACUAUGUCUUGAUUUUGUUGCAGUUGUGCAUUAUUUUCUGUCCCCACUUUUGGUAGCCCAUGGUUUCAUACCUGUAUUGCUGUCAAAUCUGCUUUUCAUGGUGGCAGCCUCAUACUACCAUUAUCUCAACUUUUUAGGUUAUGAUGGUAAGUAAUUUUUGAAUAAAAUGAGAAAUAUCUUGGCGAUAGUAAAAAUAAAUUUAAUGUGUUAGGUGAAUCCUUUUAAGCUUAUCUUCAUAUUUGAUUUUUUGGCUUUCCUGAACUAUUUUUCUACUAGGAUCCAGAAUGAGAUUACUUUUGUGCAAAAUGUUUAGGGAUUGUUUGUAAAGAAAUAACAUCGAUGAAUGGCCAUCCAUCUAAUUGAAUGUUCCAAAGUUUGACUGAACUGGCCCUUGUUUUCGGGUUUGAGGUUUAUUCCUACACAUGUUCUCUGUAUGAUUGUGUGUUAGAUUGCUUUAGAAAGUGGUCCAACCGGUCCUGUAAAUGCAAACCUCUUAUGUGACAGUCAUGACUUAUUUUAUUUUCUCAAAGAUUUAAAGCAAGGUGCUGUCUUAGAAACUUGAAGCGAAGUUUAUGGAAGUGGAAUAACACCAGUAUACUAAGACGACAUAAAAUGCUUGUUAAGCAUGGCCAUUUACUUUGUUUGCAUUGAUUGUUUAACACUUACCUUUAAAUUUUUGUCCUAUCGUGCUAACCUUGCUUUCCAAUUAACUAAAUGUUUAUUCAAAAGUUCUGGUGAGAUGAUGUGCAUACUCUUGUUCAUAUGCAAAUAGAACCUAUCGUUUCAUACAAAAAAGUAGCAUUGAUUUUUCGCUUAGUGAUUCGGUUAUACUAUGUAUAGUAACUUGAUCAGGGUGAAUAUUUGAGACAGAUUAUCACUAGUCAUGUUCAAUUAAUUUUGGAUGUGCAUUCAAUCUCAAGUUGGUGAAUUUCUCAGUAAAAAACAGCUACAUCAUCGCCUGUUUACUAAUUAAUUUACUGCUAUCAUGUCUUAUCUUUCAGUUCUACCAUUUUUGGAGAGGACAACCUUUUUCCUGUAUCCAAUUGGUGUUGUUAUUGUCCUUUCUCCUAUUUGUAAGUAUAAAAAAGCAACAAGUUCUAUUUUGGUCUUCAUUUUGGCUUCUCAAGUCUCGCCACAACUUUGAUUUCUUUUGAACUUCUUGCAGUGAUUUUAAGUGGCUUCAAUCCUUCAAGAUAUUUUAUGAAUAUUUACUUUAGCCAAAGGCUGUGAUUUACUAAGCUAACACUUCGAAAUAGCACAUACGAUGAGGUUGGGGAUAGUUUGGAGACUGCAUCAAUUGUGGGAAGGCACGAUUGCGAAUUCUUUUGCAUGCAUGUAAAAGUGAAAGGAAGGUUUGCAAAUUGAAAAAUCUUUGUUGCUUUCAUUGUAGUCCUAUUCCCUUACAAAAGGAAAUCAGAAAACUGAAAGUCAGAUAGUUUUUUGAUAGAAGUAUCAUUGAUCAAGUGGAUAUGUAACCUGUCAAUUCUGUAUUUUCCAAUUUGUUUUUUUCUGCUCAAUCUGGAAAAUUGAUUUUGAUAAUCCUUUUUGCCCUGUUUUCACUUUUCCAUUCAUUCUCGAUACAAUUUUUAAAUAUUGGAUUUUCCGUUAUUUAAAUCGUAUGAAAAUUACACAGAAACUUGUGAAUCUCUGCUUGUGAACCUGUGGGGAAAAGUUUAACUGUUUGGGUUUAUUUAUUUAUUUUUACCUUUCAUUUUGGGAGGCAACUGAAGCAUGUUAGUAAUGUCUGAUGUUGCUUCUAAUAGUUGAUGAUUAUAACUUAUAACUAGAGGAAAGGAACUCCUUUCGUCCCAGAAAGAUUGUUUUACAUGUUGCAUGUGCUGAGCAUUUAUUUUGACAUAAGAGACUUAAAAGGAAAAAUGAUACAUAAAAAUUGUGUUAAAUAAGUAUUUUAUUAUAUUUUCUUAAAUAUUUUGGAGAGGAAAAGGUAAUUUUUAUGAGAUUUGAGGCCUUUUUCUCUUCGAAAAAUAAAGACUUGCAUUCGCAUUUUAAAAAUAUCAUCUGAAAAAAAAGGUGGUUUUCCUUGGAAUAUAAUUUUCCUACAACUGAUUUGCUAUUGUUUAGUUAUGGUACCGAAAAUAUUGAUAAUAUUGAAAUUUAGUUUAAAAAUAUUAGAAAAUUUAAUUUAUAGGACUAUAAAAAUAUUUAAAAAAUAGCACAUUAAGUCAUAAUUUAAUGGUAUGAAUCUCCCGACACUUCAAAAAGAAAAAAUUAAAAUAUAAAAAUUUAAUGUUUUGAAAUUUAUUUUCGAAUAUGAAAAAAGAAAAAUAUAGCCGAAAAGACCUAUUAAUCAAGUUGUCAAUAUUUGGUCCAUUUCUUAUAUAUAAGAGAAAAUUAGUAUUUUUUUUUUCAGAAUUAUAUAUAAAUGCAGUAAAAUAUAUUUAAAAAUAUUGAAUUAUUAUGUGUUUGAGUAUAAAUUUGUUUUUAAAAACGUAAGAUUGUAAUGUUUAUAAAAAAAAUGUAAUAAAUAAUAAAUUACAAUAAUAUUCUUAACUUAUAUAACACUUAAUUUUUUAGAACAGUACUUUAUAAUAAAUACAUAAACACUAAUACAAUAAAACCUUUUCAAAAUAAUGAAUUACCGGAAAAUAUAAAUAUGAUUCAAAAACAGUUAAUCAAUAUAACACAAUAAAAAUCUAAAUGAAUUACAUUUUGGAAAAGACAUACUACUUAUUUCAAAAGACAUAAUAUAUUUUCUGUAUUAAUCGUUUACUCUAAUUUUUUAAAUUGGAUUAUUAAUUAACAAAAUGUAUUACUUUCUUAAAUUAAUAACAUUUUGAACACAAUUAUAAUUUUUGAAGUUAGUAGUCAUAUAUAGCGAAUGUAGCAUGAUUAUGAAAUAAAAAUUAGUUAUACAUUUGGUAAAUUUUUGGAAGGUUGUGAAUAAUUUUGGUGCAUAACUCAUUUAUAAUAUGUUCUAACUUGUCAUAUCUUUUUAUCACAUAAUUUGUUUAACCUAUUGUGAUAUUUCAUUUGUCAACAUGCUUCCAAAGUUUAGUAUUUUUAAAUGAAUAAUUGUUAUUAUUAUUAUUAUUAUUAUUAUUAUUUAAUGCUAAAAUAAGAAGUAUCACAAGCUAAUUUUAUUUGGCAGAUGCCUGAAAGGUGGGAAUAGCCCAUUUUGAACAUUCUGCUUAAGAUUUGAACAUGAAAACUCAAGUAAGAAAUCUAAAAUUUUAGUUGUUGGUAAGUAUCCCAUUUUGGAUAUUACUUAAUAAGUAUUAUAUAUGGAAAAAUUACAUAUUUAAGUCCCUUAAUUUAUUGAGCUUUUGUUAUUAAGCUCUUGAAAUUUUAUUUUUUGAAAUUGAACCCUUUAACUUUUAUUUUGAUAAAGAUUAAGCUUUAAAUUGAUUAAGAGUAAAUGAUAAAUCCAAAUAAUUAACCACAAAAAUAAACCCAUAAUAAUGUGAGAUAUGAAAGUCUCGUUUAAAAAAUAAAGACUUAAUUUUAACAAAAAUAAAAAUUUAGGGACUUAAUAUGGAAAAUAAAAGUUUAGGAUUAAUUUAAACAAAAAUAAGAAAAUCUUGCUCGUUUAACACUCGUGAUUAUUAUUUUUCUCGACCCUCAAUUAAAUAACAGUUUAUUUUUAACAAAAAUAAAAAUUCAAGAAUUUAAUAUUGACAAAUAAAAGUUUAGAGAUUUAAUGUCAAAACUUAAUAAGUACAUGAAUUUAAAUAUAUAUUUUUUGUUAUAUAUAUUUAUUGAAGAAAUUGUAAGAAUUAUUUUAUUUUAUUUUAUUUUUAACUCCAUCAAUGUGAAUGAGUAUGAUUCGUGUAAGAGUGAGAGCAUAAGUUCUUUCUCAAAAAACGUAUUGCUCAAAAAACAAAAUUAAGGAUUAAUUCAAAAAUAUUAAAGGAUGAUAUAUAAAUAGAGAUCCUCUUAUUAAACCUCAUUUACAAAUACUUUUUAAACUAAUAUAAAACAAAGUUCAUGGAGCUCGUUUACUCUUUACAAUGGCAUAACAAACAAGCGAUGAAAGGAUUUGCUGGUCGAAAUAAAAAAGAAAUAAGUAUGGAAGAAUAGAUGAGUAAGACAUUAGAGAAACGUUAUACUUGUAUCAUAUUGUAUAUCUUGAUGUAUUUUUUGUGCUUAUAUAUAAUUUUCAAGAACAUACCAUGUAUAAUAAGAGAAGGUUAAUAUUUUACAUUGAGGAAGGAUUGAAGUGAAAUUUUGAUGGCUGAAAUUUUUGUAUGUUGCAAAAAUGAUAUAAGAAUUGAUAGAACAGGGAGAAUUUGAGUGUUAAUGGAAUAAGGUUAUUUUUAUUAUUUUAUUAAAAAUUAAUUAAAAAAAAAAGAUUUUAAAUGGAACAGCUAUUCUGUUCACAAAAUCAGAAAUAAAAUAAUCUAUUUUUCAAAUAAUAAGGAUAUAGUAAUAGUAUUAUGUAAAUUCUAAAAAUUAAAUUUUAUUAAGAAUACGUUAUAGAUAUCAUAAUAAUAAUUUUUUCUUGAUUUGUAGAUUGAUGAUCCAAUUUAGCUAUGGCUAGGUUUACCAAAACAUUUCUUUUCUUACAUGUAAAUUGGUUAUUAGUUUACUCUAAUAUCUCUACCUUUUCAAAUUAGAUUAUUAGUAAUAAGAUAUAUUUACUUUUUAAAAUUAAUAAUUUUCAACUUAAUAAUAUUUUUACAAGUUAGUAGUAUUUUGUUAUAUAUAAUUAAAUAUAGUAAAUAUAGCAUGACUAUAAAAUAAAAUACUCACAGCAUGGAAUGGAAAGUUUGUGAGUAUAAUCAUCCUAAACUGGUUUUCACAAGACUUUUACAUUCCAAAUUAAUGUAAAUGAGUGAGAGAAUCAGAAAAAAAAAAAAAAAAAUAUAUAUAUAUAUAUAUAUAUAAAAUUGAUUAUUUAAUAUGAAAAUAAUAUAAUAUUAUUUUUCCAAUUUUAAAUAUAGAGUGCAAUUAAUCUUUAAAUUUCAUUUUAGGGUACAAUCGAAUAAACAAAAUGCAAUGGGAGCAAAAAGAAAAUCAUGGUAUUUUCACGUUAGGAUGGUAUAAAAAUGACAAUUAUAUAUGUACAUUGUUGGGAAAAUCGCUAUUUUUCCCGACAAGUGGUAUCAGAGCCAAGUUGUUAGGCGGAGCUUUUAGUGUUAAAAUAAUUUCUUGUAAUUAUAAGUAUGCUCUGUGGUUGCGGCUUAGUAUGAUCUUCCACAUCAGAAAUACUGUUGUUAGAAAUUAUUUUAUUUUAAAAGCAGGUGGAGUUUUGGAAGUCUUGAAGCGGGUGGAGCUUUGCUUUGGUGUGCUUGAGUAUCGGUGGUGAAUGUCCUGACGAUAAUUAUUGAAGUUAUUCUAUUAUGAUAAUAUACCGUGCAUGUAACUUCUGUCUAGAAGGACCGGAUUUUAAGUGGGACCACUUGUGACCCCUCCGUCCAACUGAGAUUUUACGUGGAAUGGUAAUAUUGUCUAGGAGAUCAUUGUGAUCUUUCCUGGGUAUUGCCGAAUCGGUUUACUUCACUAAUUAUUGGGUUCACUGUUAUAAGCACAAGUAAGCAUGUCGGCUAUGAGAUGUGAGAUUGAGAAAUUUGACGGGAGAAUGAAUUUUGCACUGUGGCAAGUGCAAGUCAAAAACGUGUUGAUUCAGUUUGGACUGCAUAAGGUUUUGAAGGGUAAACCAGUCAGCGGAAAGAAUUCAGGAAAAGACAGUAGCAGUGGAGACUCAGAAAAAUCCAAGAUUAGCGAUGAAGAAUGGGAGGAGCUGGAUAUCAAAGCGGCAAGUCAAAUUCGCAUGUGUCUAGCAAAAAAUGUUCUUGCUAAUGUGCUUGGAUUGUCCACGACAAAGGAGUUGUGGGAGAAACUGGAAGAAUUGUACCAGGGCAAAAAUAUAUCCAACAGGUUAUAUUUGAAGGAGCAAUUUCAUACGUUGAAAAUGGCGGAAGGUACAAAGCUGUCAGAUCAUCUGAGUGUUCUUAAUGGCAUCGUCUCUGAAUUAGAAACUCUUGGAGUGCAAACCGAAGAUGAAGAUAAAGCUCUCCGACUCAUCCUGUCACUUCCUUCGACAUAUGAGCACAUGAANNNNNNNNNNNNNNNNNNNNNNNNNNNNNNNNNNNNNNNNNNNNNNNNNNNNNNNNNNNNNNNNNNNNNNNNNNNNNNNNNNNNNNNNNNNNNNNNNNNNNNNNNNNNNNNNNNNNNNNNNNNNNNNNNNNNNNNNNNNNNNNNNNNNNNNNNNNNNNNNNNNNNNNNNNNNNNNNNNNNNNNNNNNNNNNNNNNNNNNNNNNNNNNNNNNNNNNNNNNNNNNNNNNNNNNNNNNNNNNNNNNNNNNNNNNNNNNNNNNNNNNNNNNNNNNNNNNNNNNNNNNNNNNNNNNNNNNNNNNNNNNNNNNNNNNNNNNNNNNNNNNNNNNNNNNNNNNNNNNNNNNNNNNNNNNNNNNNNNNNNNNNNNNNNNNNNNNNNNNNNNNNNNNNNNNNNNNNNNNNNNNNNNNNNNNNNNNNNNNNNNNNNNNNNNNNNNNNNNNNNNNNNNNNNNNNNNNNNNNNNNNNNNNNNNNNNNNNNNGUAAAGUGGUUCCAAGUGGCGAUACUCUUUUAUGGUGGAGUAUGAUAAUUCUUGACGAUAAGAAUUAUGAUUGUCGGUAGCAGACAAUGUUGUGUUUUUUUUUUUAUUUUAUUUUCAAGGUGGAGAUUGUUAGCCGCCGUUGUUGAAAACAAAAGAAAAAAAAAUAUAAAAAAAAUUAGUUUUUGCUUAAUCCCACAUCGGGGAGAUAAGCAAAGUGAAGGUAGUGAUUUGGCUAUAAAAUGGAAGCAAUGUUUAGGUUUCCAGACACACCAAAACACACCAAAAACACUUGAGUGCUUUUUAUAUUAGGGAUUUAGAGUAAGUCUCUUGGAGUCCCUUGGAGUAUAAAAUAUUUGGGGUGUUUUGAGGGUGUCGAGUAGAAAAAUAUUUUGUAAUUGUGGUUGUAACAAUUUGCCGCAUAGUGAAUAUUUUUCUUGAUUAUCGUUUGACAACGGCCGUGGUUUUUUCUCUACUUGGGGAGUUUUCCACGUUAAAUUAUCGUGUUCUUUUUAAUUUCUCAGUCAUUAUUUUAUUCUCAUUUGUUCCUGCUUGAAGCCGAUCCGAAGGGCGGGAAAAAUAGCGAUUUUCCCAACAUACAUCUCUUAUUUAACAUUCAAGUUUUUCUCAUAUGCAUCAAAUUGUAAUAUUCAAUUUAAAAGUUAAAAAUAUUCAACUUCUAUCACAUAGACCAUUAAAAAUAAUCUGCUCAUAUAAAAUUAAUUUUUGUGAGAAAUUAAAUUUUUAUAUAAAAUUGUGCACCAAUGUAUAGCUAAAGAAAUGAAUAAAAUUUAAUAACUAAAAGAAAUAGGAAAAGAGUAAAUAAUAAAAUAUAUAGAAAACAGUAAUUAUAGCAAAACAUUAAUACGUGAAUUCCUUUUUCUUUAUUAGUAAAAGGAAAAUACUUAACAAACACAUAUAAUUAAGAAAUCAUAAACAAAUAAAUAAUGUUUUUUGUUAUUUUAUAUAGAAGUCUUACUCAUAGAAAUAGUCGCUGAAGUCAUUCCUUUACAAAAUUAAAGAAAAGAGAUGGGAUUUUAAAUAUAAUUUAGUGGUACAAUUGCAUGGUUUGGUAGGUAUUGGCUUAGUUAUAGCAUUAUCUUUAGAAAUCUCAAUUUUGUUAUUUACUGGCAUUGUAAAACUUUGUAACACCUGCUAGAAUACAGAAUGGUCGGCAUCUGCUGCUCUUCCUUCAGGAUAGGUAUAGUUUGUGGUCUCUAGCUUUUCCUUCUUAAUCCAUUUUGGCUUUCAUUGAACUUAAAACUCUGUUUUUUUCUUGCCAUACUAAACUUACGUUUUAAGUAUUAACAUUUAUCCAAUCCUUUAAUUCUUGCAUUCAAAUUUGACGGGUUUUAUUGAAUUCGAUCCAACAAAAAGAGAGGAAAUGGGUGUAGUCGUAGAGAAUAAGGGAGGGGUAGGUUAGUAAUUUUCUGGUUUUAAUUAGUGGAAUCCACGUGGCAACCCACAUGGAUUCCUAUUUGGCGUUGACUAAAUAAAAACCAAGUGAAUAAGUGGGUCUAUAUCGUCUUACAAGGAUUUCUGGCUAUUCAUAUAUGCAAAAUCCAAUGAAUUGUUAAACAAUUAAUAAUUUAUUCACGAAAUUAUUAAUUUUUUCUAUUCAUAUGUCAAAAUGGAAAAAAUGCUCCACAGGAAUAGUUUCAAUUCAGAAAGGAGAUAGAUUCAACGAAAUGCAAUGUCCUAAGAAUAGUUUGGAACGUAAAGAGAUGAAGACUAUUCCAUAUGCGUCAGUAGUUGGGAGCUUAAUAUAUGUUCAACAUGUACUCGACUGGAUAUUAGUUUCACCGUCGGAAUGUUAGGGCGAUAUCAAAGUAAUUCCAGGAUGGACCAUUGGAAAGCUGCAAAGAAAGUACUUAGGUAUUUACAAGGCACUAAGGAUCAUAUACUCACUUAUAGAAAGUCCAGCCAUCUAGAAGUGAUGGGAUACUCGGAUUCAGACUAUGCUAGUUGUGUGAUUCGAGAAAAUCUACAUUUGGUUACUUGUUUCUCCUAACUAGAGGAGUAAUAUCAUGAAAAAGUGGAAAGUAGUCUGUCAUUGCUACUUCCACGAUGGAGGCUGAAUUUGUGGCAUGCUUUGAGGCUACUGUUCACGCAUUAUGGUUGCGGAACUUUGUCUCAGGUCUAGGCAUUGUCGACAGUAUAGCUAGAUCGUUGAUAAUUUUCUGUGAUAAUUCCGCAGCUGUCUUCUUCUCCAAGAAUAAUAAGUACUCUAAAGGUGCAAAGCACAUGGAUUUAAAGUACCUAUCUGUGAAAGAAGAAGUGCAAAAACACAAAGUGUCAAUUGAGCAUAUCGGUACUGAUCUGAUGAUAGCGGAUCCACUAACUAAAGGCCUACCGCCCAAAAUCUUCACUGGCCAUGUUGAUAGGAUGGGCAUUAUAGAUAAGUCCUUGUUAUCCUGAUGGUUAAACUUGUAUAUAUAUAUAUAUAUAUAUAUAUAUAUAUAUAUAUAUAUAUAUACACAUAUGGUUAUUUUGCUCAUAUUAUUGUGACAAUUGAGAAUUCAAUUAAAGAUGUGUUUUGCUUAUUUAUGUGUUAUCUACAUUAUAGAUGUAUACAAUAAUGGUUUGGGUGAGAUAACAAUAACAUUGAUUGUAACAAUGUAUUAUUUGUCGAAUCGUUUCUCGAUUAUAGUUAUUAUGGAUUAAGAUGAUCUGUGAUAUAUGGAAGGAAUCAUAUCGAUUAAUGACUUGUGACCGCUAUUAUUCGAUCCCUUUAAAUUCUAAUUAAGGUUAACAUGAUAGAUUCAAGAAAUGCACAUGGGCCAAGUGGGAAAUUGUUAGAUUAUUUUAAUAAUCUGAGUGGCUCAUGUAAUUAAAGGGUUGAUUCUAAUUAAAGUGGCCCAAGAUAAUAAUUAUUAGGCUUAAUGGGAUAAGGACCAGUUAGGGUUUUAAUAUCCUUCAUCUGCCUUAUAAAAGUGAAUCAAUAGUUUAUGUUAAGAAAAGAAAAACAGAGAGUGUGACGGUUACCUCAAACACAUACGGUGAUAGGUUGCUUGAGAGAUCGUGAAAAGAACACCCGUAGCUGUUGAUUAUUCUCUGACCAUUAAGAGAAAACUUACGGAUAAAAGGCCAAAGUGAAAAAAUACAGAUCUACUGUUAUGGUGAGAAUUGAAUUACAGCAACGAGUUAAUCAAUAGCUAUGGAUCAUGCUACGCUUCCGCUUAUUGUGUAUUCUUAUUAAACAAAUUCUAUGAACUAUAAGAUUAUGUUAACGCUUGCCCCCUAACAAGAACGUGUUCCCCCAUCGUCGCAACAUUAUAAGGACCAACAAUCUCAGAUGCAGUAGGAAUAGUGGGAAAAGAAGAGGAAAGAGGCAUGGUAGGGACCAACCGAGAAGAAUCAGUCACGCUUGGAGGAACAUGACUCAUGCAUUGAAUGGAGCUUGAGUCAAUCGUCAUAGGUUGCACACCUUGUUUGGGCUUUAUAGAAAUAAGAGCCCGAUCAGAAGCAUCCUUAGGAGAAAUAAUAUAAUCCCAUUUUUAGACGAGGGGCUUAGAUUAUUGGUUUGGACCAUGAGAGGAAGACUCCUCUAACAAUAUUUGAUCCACUGAUAUAGAAACUUUAGUUUUACCUUUGGAUAGACCGGGCCCAAUAAGCAGCUCAGGGAGGCCAACAGAAGGCCCAAUACAAGAUCCUCAUUAAACACCACUUCCUCAACAAUCUUAUCAUACAAGGCAGUAAAACGAUUCUUACUUACCUUGUUUGUAGUAUAAAAAGUUGUAUUACCUUGUACCACAUCCUUAACAAAUCCCUUAUAGUGAGCAUUACUUAGAAUCCUACUUGACUUACGCCACUGACAUUUGACCAACAUCUAAGGACCAAACUUGUCCGUAACUUCCGGUGCAAUAUUCUCCGUUACCAUUGAUGUUGAUCGGCCAUAUCUCGCCAACUCUUCUGCCGGAGCAGCAACAAUAGCCGCCUGCUAUCUAGAGUUUCCAAUGUCCCUAUUCAACAGAGUACAAUCCUCCUAUCUAUGACCAUAGCAACCAUACUGAUAACAAAUGAUGUGGACACCCACAUAUUCAAGACGGCGGACACGACAACUGAGCCUAAACUUUGAUAAUCAAGGUUUAUUAAGAUCCACUUCAACAAAAAUACGAGCAUAUUUACCCUUAGUAACAUCCAAGGUAGUCUCAUCAACCCAGAUAGGAACCAAUCUUACAACCCAACCACAUUAAAAACCUCUAAUCAUAAUAUUCCACAGGAAGAUUAGGAACACAAACCCAUACUAAGGCAUUUGUUAUCUUUACAAUUUUAGGGUCAAAAUUUGGAUGCUACCAUUGAACUGUAACAUAAUGAUUGACGACCAGCCAAGGACCACCAUAAAGCACAUGUUCGUAUUCAGUCUGGUUAGAAAACCUAACCAUGUAGAAACCAUUAAUAAGAUUAAAAGGCGAUUUCAGGUUCCACAUAAUUCUCAGUUUCCGAUGAGGAAACCAUAACCAAUAGUGCAAUCUAGUAACUUAAUAAUCAAAGUUGUUUUCCAUUUAUUCCUCAGAAGAUGCUUCUCCGUAUUUGGAACCCUCAUAGUUGGGCACUCCGGAUGAUCAUCAUCACUUCCUUCUCCAUCAGACUCAUCCUUUGACACUUCGACAUCAUCAUCCGCACUCCGAUCAUCAUGCUCCAAGUCUUCCCCUCUCAAGACAAUAUUACGAAAAGACGGUUUCCUUCUAUGUUUCACAGGGGAACCACUUGCAUCCUCAUCAUUAUUCUCAGCAGUAACGCGUCCUGCAUCUCCUAUUCCAACCUUAACCUUUUCGUUACUGCGUAUUUUUAUAUCAUGUUCUUCAAUUGACACCAACGGUGCCUCAGCCCCUGGCUCACGUCCUCCACACUCCGUUAUAUUGCUUUUAAGUUGACAUAUAAUUUAUGCGGUCCAUCUAAUUAAUUUUUUCUUUGAAAAAAUAAGCUAUUUUCAUUUAUUUUAUUUUAUUUAUUUACCCGAUCCAAUUUAAUGCAAUGCAAAUAUUCAAUAGGUAUUAAUUUUAUCGGCGGAUGAGAUAUGGAUAUUGCAAAAUCUGCUCCAUGAUCAUCUCUAACUCAACAUUGAAACUGAGACCGAUUAGUGGCCAGGUCUAUCCUCUCAUAGUCACAUUGAUACAUGUUUUUCAAUAAUUUAAAUACCCUUUCCCUUCAAUUACAAAAAGUUUGGUAUCUUUCAUUGUCAGGAGACAAGAAUACCACACAGAUCACCACAGCCACAAUGCAUUCAACUGGAAACCAAAACAUCACUUCACCUUGUUUUAUUACGAACAAAACAGAGACCACAAAACAGAGCACAUUAUAGUUUUGAGCUUUAAGAUUUUGGUUUAUUUAUUUGCUUCAUUCCUCAAGCUUGCUGCCUGCAACGUCCACCACAAACCUAUAUCUGACGUCGUUGUUCUCGAGCCUUUCCAAAGCUUUGUUGAUGUAAUCCAUUUUGACAACUUCAAUCAUUGAUGUUACUCCCUUUUCCCUGCAGAAAUCAAGCAUCUCCUCUGUUUCUUUCAUGCUUCCUAUGAAACUUCCUGUAAUCAUCUUUCUCCCUAUACAAAAUUGCACCAAGAAACAGAGUUUUCAAAAUUUAAUAGACACUUGUUUGAAAUGAGGGUGAAUUUCAAAUUAAAAAUCAUGAAUUUUUGAAUUUUAAUUUGAAAUCUUAAGAAAUUAAGACAAGAUCAAAUCUAAAAAAAUAUUUUUUUCAAAUAAAUAUUGAUAUCUCUUUUGUUAAAUCAGAAACUACUAAGUUCCUAUGCACCAAAAUAAAAAUCAGAAAUUAUAAAAAAAAGGCACUGUAUAUAUAGAAGUUCGAACUGCUAAUAUCGAUAUCCAAAAGUGCAUAUACAUUCAACCACAUAAUAGAUUUUGAAGGUGUAUUGAAUUUUCUAAAGGCAGGGCAAAAACAGAGCAAGAAGCAAUCAAAUAUAAUCAUAUAGAAAAGCAUAACAUCCAUUUUUAUCUAAACCUAACAGUUAAAGAGAAAAAUUGGAAAGCAAAUUCCCACAAAAGAUCUUCAGCAUCUGUUGUCAAUCUUCAUAUCGAAACUCCCAAAAUAAAAAAAAAAUAUCACUCUUUUCCAUUUUCUUUAAAUUAGAAUUAACAUGAGAGAGAUAAAAAGACUCACCAAGCAUAACCAUAGGACUGACAAACUGUAAUGGGGUAUUAAUAACACCCAUCAAAAUCAGCUUCCCAUCAAGUUUCAACAAAGAAAGAUAAGGCUCAAGAGGAUGACCAACAGGCACAGUGUCAAUUAUAUAAUCAAGAGAAUCAGCAGCUUCUUGCAUCUUAGUUGUGUCUGAACUAACUAAAUACUCAUCAGCACCAAGAUGCUCCAAUGCCUCCACUCUCUUCUUAUCUGAAGAACUUAUCACAGUAACAUGAUGUCCCAUUGCCUUUGCUAUUUUCACCCCCAUAUGCCCUACUCCUCCAAGUCCUAAUAUCCCUCCCCUUAACCCACUCUGCUUCAACCCAAAGUGGCUAAGUGGGCUAUAAACUGUGACCCCAGCACACAAUAAUGGUGCCGCUUGUUCUGAUGACAUCCCUUCUGGUACUUUCACAAUAAAUCUGCAAGCACAUAAAAAAUAUUAAGCUUUUUGCAACCCUUGAUCUCAAACACACUCCCAAUAAUUUUAAAAAAUACAGUUUUCAGACAUGUUCAAUAUCGAAUAUCUACCUUGCAGUGCAGAAAAUCAGAAAUUAAAACCUGAUAACCAAUUUUAUUUGUGGAUUUAGAAUUAUCAGAAAAUCCCAAUUUCUUGGAAAUUGAUUUUUCUCCCCUUUAAGUCAAUAAAGAUAAUGUUUUUGAUAAAAAUGAAGUUGGGUUAUAAUUACUUUUGAUCUACAAUCAUGGAUUGGGCAAAGCCGCCUUGAGUAGGUUUUCCAUCUGUGUAAACAUCAUUGUAAGACCAGAUUUUCUUGUUGCAAUACUGCUCAAUAUCUGAUUUACAUGGAUGGCAAUUCCUGCAGCAUCCAACAAUUACUCCAACUCCAACUACAUCUCCUACUGUAAAUUUCGUCACUUCUGAUCCUACGUCCACCACCUCACCAACCACUUCAUGCCUGUAUAAAUAAAAAAGUACCAUAACCCACACGAUUAUCAGAAUAAAUGAAACAUUAAAAUCCUGAUUAAGAAAAUAAAAAGCCAAGAUGGAGAUGGAGAGACUACCCAGGGACCAUAGGGUAGCGUGACAUGCCAAGAUCAUUUUUGAUCUGAUGAAUAUCAGUGUGACAGACUCCACAACAGAGAACCUUUAUCAAAACAUCUUCUGGGCCUGUGUUUCUGCAUUUAAAAAAGAAAAUGUUCCGAAGCAAUAGAGAAAUAUGAAAUUACUGAUACAAAUAUAUCAAGAAAAAUGAACAUAAAUAGAACUGAAUCAAGAAUUACCUAAGAGUAUAGGUAUAAGGAGAAAGAAUCCCAGAUGGGUCUCUUGCAGCCCAUCCAACAGUAGCUCUCUCUGUUUCAAUGCUGCCCAUUAUGCUUUUUUUAAUUUUCUUUUUUCAAAAUGGAGUGAGAAAAAAGAGAGAGAGGCGGAUGGGAAUCCGAAGAUAGGAUCGUUGCGAGGAUUAGAAAAGUAAGCAGAAGAAGAUGUUAUUUUAUAGAGAGAAAAGACAAGAGAGAGAAUGAAAGGGCAAGUAUACCUAUUGCUGGGGCCGAAAGAUUGACAUCUCAGCAGUCUGCAGCGGUUGAGUUUGUGGUUGGUGGGUAUGUUGGGGAAUUAUCCCCAGCUCCCACAACCAUCAUAAUCAUACUUGCUCCCUAAUUAGAAUAUAUGUAGAAUAAUUAUUAUUACAUAUUUCACAUACAUGUACAUUAUAUUAUUAUCUUGAAGAUAUUAUUUUUUAUUUUAUCAUCUUCCUUGACUUUCAUACAGAUUAAAAAAAUAUAAUUAAUUAAAAAUACACGACUUUCAUAUAAAUUAAAAAAAUAUAGUUAAAUCAUAAUUUUUAUUUAUUCUUUUUCUAAUUUUUUUCUAAACUAUAAAUGUGAAAGAUCAUAUUUAAUUAAUUUUUUAUUUUAAAAUUAGAUUAAUAAUAAAAAAAUAUAAAGAUUAUUCUUUUUUAAAAAAUAAAAUAUUAUAAUUUUAGACAAGUUAAAAAAAAUUCAUAUUAUUUUCAUGAGACGAGUAAGUAAAUUAUUUUACAUGAAAUUAUAAUAUUAUAUAGGAUAAAAUAUUACUUAGUCCCUGAGGGUUUAUCAAAUUUAAUAGCUCAUCUCUCUAUUUUGAAGAACCAAUUAUAUAACAUUCAAAUUUAAUAUUCUUCCAAUUAAAAAGUCUCUCCAUUUUAAAGAGAGACCUUUUAUUUAAUUAUUUAAAAAUAAUCUGUAAGAAAUAAUUAGGCAAAUUUAAGUUUUAAACCGUUUAACUUUUAAUUAUAUAAAUUUUAAAUUCAAAACAAUACGAUUAGCUUCUAAAAUAAAAGAACAAAAUAGUAAAUUUAACAAAGGUCGUGAGCUAAAUAAUACUUUACUCUAUUAUAUUAUUAACUCAGAGAUCACAUGCUUUAUUGUACUUCUAAUUUUUACUUUAGAAUAACACAAUUACUUUCUUCCAUUUGUAUUAGUAUUUAUAGAUUAGUACCAACAACAUACAAUUAUUACCAAUUGAAACUCCAAUAUGCAAUUUUGAGUUUGAUAUGAACUCCAUAUUUGAAAUAAACAGAUUUCACAAAAUUUUGUGAAAUUUACUUAUAAAUUUAAAUUUUUAUAUUUAAUAUAAAAAUAAAAAAAAAUUCAAUUCUACGAAUUCAAUUCUAUACACUUGAAUAUAAGUAAAUCAAAUUUUACCAAAAAAUAAGAAAUUUUCAAAUAAAUUCUAUAAAUUUAAAUAAUCAAAAUAUUUAUGAUAAAGCUUUUCAUCCUGAUAGUCUUAUAAAAUUAUGAUGCUAAGAAUAUUUAAAAAAAUAAAUGAAUUUUAUUUUAAAUUUUAAAUUUUAAAUUCAUUUAUAUGAAAUGGUGCUGAAAUGGGCACUUAAAAAAAGUGUUCUUGCAUAAAUCUUUUAAUUUAAUCACAUUACUCGAAGCACCCCAAUUUAACCACAACUUGGUCUUAAGCACAUGGACUUCUGUCUUGGGACAACUACUACCGUUAGAUCAUUGCUUGAUUGUUUGCACCAACUGUUGUGAUGGACUUGCCUUUCAGCGCAUCAAAUGCCAUACUAAAUGGUAUGGAAGAGAAGUAUUUUACUUAGGACACGUCAUGCUUAUGUCACUCACAACGGGAAUUUGGUUUGCUUGGAUCGGAUUCAAGCUAUUUCAGGUUUGCAUUGACUUCAGAAAAUAUUUGUUUUUUUUUUUGCCUUAAUAGACUCAUUACCUCCACUUGCUAUAAUUCAAUUGAACAAAGCUAAAUUGACCAUGCCACAAAUAGUUAACACACACGACAAAAAUUACUCCCUUCGUCGUAUUUAUAUAGAAGGUCAAAAUUUAGCUAAAAUUAAAAAAGUGAUAUUUUCGUUAAUUUAUUCCUAAUUUAUUUUUGAAAAAGAUAUUAAAGUGAUCUCUAAAUUUCAAUGAAAGAUAGUAAAUAAUGAGAGAAAAUAUGUCUUACUUUAAAUAAAGAGUUUUAUUUAUUUAGACUUUUAAUAAUAAAAAAACUGUGGGCUAUUUUACUUUAAUUGCCCAAUAAAAUUUCAAUCUGAAAUUUGGAUUGAAAACAUGGGUGUGAGAUUUGAAAGAAACUUUCGAGCCAAAAUUUUCAACCGCAAAUUCUUUAUUUUGUUUGUCUAAAUUUGUACAUAGAAAACGAAACUUGGAGCCAAAAUUUUUAAAGUGAAUUCAUUUAAAUAGGGAUGAGUUCACAACUCUAAAAUUUAAUCCACAAAUACUAUGAAUACCGUCCUUCCUUUUGAUUUGAAUACAGUUUCUCAAGACUUGCCUGCAACUUCAGAAGAUGUGGUCAUACUCAACAAUCAGACCUUUUGUAGAAUCUGAAACCCACACCACCUCUGAUUAAUGUUCUAGAAGAGACUCGAAAAGGCAACAAAAGAAAAAACAUCACUAAAGAUGUGAAAAAUAUAGUUUGUAUGUUGUUGCAUUUUGAAACUCAGAAGGACAUGUCAUGUGACAUCCUACUCCGAGUCGAGUCUUAGCAUAGAGUUGAGUAGUCGAGUUGAGUCGAGUUGAACCAAACCCGGUUGGGGUAGAAUGAGAUUGUAAGUGGAUUUGAGUGAGAGAAAAAGAUUAAAGCAUAUAGGUGAGGAGUGAUUUGCAUUAAAAGAUUGAGCUUGGGUAUUAAGUUGUAGCCUGUUUACAAUUGAGGUACCAUUUAGNNNNNNNNNNNNNNNNNNNNNNNNNNNNNNNNNNNNNNNNNNNNNNNNNNNNNNNNNNNNNNNNNNNNNNNNNNNNNNNNNNNNNNNNNNNNNNNNNNNNNNNNNNNNNNNNNNNNNNNNNNNNNNNNNNNNNNNNNNNNNNNNNNNNNNNNNNNNNNNNNNNNNNNNNNNNNNNNNNNNNNNNNNNNNNNNNNNNNNNNNNNNNNNNNNNNNNNNNNNNNNNNNNNNNNNNNNNNNNNNNNNNNNNNNNNNNNNNNNNNNNNNNNNNNNNNNNNNNNNNNNNNNNNNNNNNNNNNNNNNNNNNNNNNNNNNNNNNNNNNNNNNNNNNNNNNNNNNNNNNNNNNNNNNNNNNNNNNNNNNNNNNNNNNNNNNNNNNNNNNNNNNNNNNNNNNNNNNNNNNNNNNNNNNNNNNNNNNNNNNNNNNNNNNNNNNNNNNNNNNNNNNNNNNNNNNNNNNNNNNNNNNNNNNNNNNNNNNNNNNNNNNNNNNNNNNNNNNNNNNNNNNNNNNNNNNNNNNNNNNNNNNNNNNNNNNNNNNNNNNNNNNNNNNNNNNNNNNNNNNNNNNNNNNNNNNNNNNNNNNNNNNNNNNNNNNNNNNNNNNNNNNNNNNNNNNNNNNNNNNNNNNNNNNNNNNNNNNNNNNNNNNNNNNNNNNNNNNNNNNNNNNNNNNNNNNNNNNNNNNNNNNNNNNNNNNNNNNNNNNNNNNNNNNNNNNNNNNNNNNNNNNNNNNNNNNNNNNNNNNNNNNNNNNNNNNNNNNNNNNNNNNNNNNNNNNNNNNNNNNNNNNNNNNNNNNNNNNNNNNNNNNNNNNNNNNNNNNNNNNNNNNNNNNNNNNNNNNNNNNNNNNNNNNNNNNNNNNNNNNNNNNNNNNNNNNNNNNNNNNNNNNNNNNNNNNNNNNNNNNNNNNNNNNNNNNNNNNNNNNNNNNNNNNNNNNNNNNNNNNNNNNNNNNNNNNNNNNNNNNNNNNNNNNNNNNNNNNNNNNNNNNNNNNNNNNNNNNNNNNNNNNNNNNNNNNNNNNNNNNNNNNNNNNNNNNNNNNNNNNNNNNNNNNNNNNNNNNNNNNNNNNNNNNNNNNNNNNNNNNNNNNNNNNNNNNNNNNNNNNNNNNNNNNNNNNNNNNNNNNNNNNNNNNNNNNNNNNNNNNNNNNNNNNNNNNNNNNNNNNNNNNNNNNNNNNNNNNNNNNNNNNNNNNNNNNNNNNNNNNNNNNNNNNNNNNNNNNNNNNNNNNNNNNNNNNNNNNNNNNNNNNNNNNNNNNNNNNNNNNNNNNNNNNNNNNNNNNNNNNNNNNNNNNNNNNNNNNNNNNNNNNNNNNNNNNNNNNNNNNNNNNNNNNNNNNNNNNNNNNNNNNNNNNNNNNNNNNNNNNNNNNNNNNNNNNNNNNNNNNNNNNNNNNNNNNNNNNNNNNNNNNNNNNNNNNNNNNNNNNNNNNNNNNNNNNNNNNNNNNNNNNNNNNNNNNNNNNNNNNNNNNNNNNNNNNNNNNNNNNNNNNNNNNNNNNNNNNNNNNNNNNNNNNNNNNNNNNNNNNNNNNNNNNNNNNNNNNNNNNNNNNNNNNNNNNNNNNNNNNNNNNNNNNNNNNNNNNNNNNNNNNNNNNNNGGUCCAUAGAGAGUCCGCGUACAACUGCUGCAGUUCAUCUGUAGAAGACUCAGUCUUCAGGGUAGCUACUCAUUUUAAUGUGUACCUUUUGUCUCUCCUUCUAUGGCAUGUACAGGGCACUCAGUUGAGCCCAUUUCAUUUUUGUAAACUAGUAUCAUGUUUUGUAAGUAUACAUUACAUUAUUUUUGUAAACAGUACCAGCAUGUUAUUAUAUUCAAUAUACAGUAUGUUUUCAGCAUGUCAGACCAUACAGUCAACUAGUUUGUAGCGUCUCGACUCGGUUCAUUCGGGUUUACGGGUGGACCGGGAAGGGAUGUUACAUGUCAAAUGCUCGUAGUAUUCAUAAAAUUGCAAACAAUUUAUCCAUAUCCAUUAAAACAGUUUAUAAAAUUUGGCAUAAUGCAAAAAUGACGAUGGAGCUGAAACUAGAGUGAAAAGUUCGUAGAAUAUGGGUAAGAAAUGAGUAAUGAUAUCUCCAAAGCCUCGUAUGGCCACUUUUUAUUGUAUGUUGAUCCGGCUAGUGGAGGCUGUCGCACUUUUUCUUUCUCUUUUAUGGGUGGAAGAUCACAUGCUGGGACUGGAAAUUAUAUUCAUAGAUUGUUAACAUCUUGUUUAUGAGUUACAUUUCUCUUCUAUCAAUAAUUCUAUAUUUGGUUUAGUUAUAGAGGAUUGUAAGAAAAUUCUUAAUAGUAGAAAUGACAUUGUCAUUCGAUGGCUAAGAACACAAGCUAAUGUCGGACCUCAUACUCUAACAAGAGCUUCUUAUCGAUAUGCUAGCAUCAAACAAUGAGAUUUUAUUCAUGAUUGUAUUUCGUUCUUAUUUUCUUAAUGUGAUUGGUUUUUAUCCUUAAAAAAAAGAAAUAAUUUUGAUUAUUUUAGAAUAGAAAUUUUAAUUUUUUAUCAUAAUAUUAGAAAUUUAUUAGAAAGAAAGAUCAAUACUUGAUCAUGAAUUAGAAAUAAAUUUGUUCCUUCUUCGAUCAGAUUAAUCAAUUCUUGAAAUUAUUAUAUUAUUUUAUAGUUUUUUUCAAUUUGAUAAAUUAAAGAUGUUCCACUUAUUAUAUGUUUAAUAUAAAAUAUAAAUAUAAUUAAAUUAAAUCAUUAACUAAUUGAGUAAAAUAAAUUAAUUGCAUCUAUAUAGUUGUAAAAUUAUUUGAAAAUGUAAAAUAAUUAAUAUCACAAGGUUCAAAUUAAUAAUCGAAGAGAUUUUCAAUUCAUUAAUGCAUAAAUAUUUCAUCACCAAAUGAUGUAUAUUUUGAUGAAAAAUAUUUUGAGUAAAUAAAUAUUUUUUUAUUAAAACCAUUAAUUAACUUCAUGAAUUUUUAACAAAAUAUUUUUCUCUUGUGUACUUUUCACUUGUUAAUGCUAACAUCUCAUAUUUAUACUAAAACCACCGAAUGAAUUAUUUAUCUUAAACAAUAUUGCAAUGAUUAAAUUUUAAUUUUUGAAUAUAAAUGUGCUAAUAAAUAAUUUAAUAACAUAAAUUUAUAUUAUUUACCAAAAAAAUCUCCAAGCAUGGAAUAAAAAUUAAAUUAAUGAAAUAUUUUUUAAUUAUAUAUUUUGUAUUCUAUUGUCUAUGUUUUCGGAUAAAAAACUCCUAGUUGUAUUAAAAUUUUGGAUGGAUUAUAUAGUCAAAUUAUUAUUCAUUUAGUAACAAAUAAAUAAAUAAUUUUUAAUUAUCUUAAUUGCAUAUGUCUCAAAUAUCAUAUAUUAAUAUAGUUUGAUAUCCGAAGAACAUUUAAAAUUUCAUUUUUAUUAUUGAUUUUUUUAAAAAAAAAAUAAUGAGAAUACAUUGAAAUUACAUUGAAAGUGCUAUUGCUAUAAAAGUCGAAAUUAGAAUAAAAUUGACAGAACUAUCAAAAUAGAGUGAAAUUGCAAAGUAUGCUAAAGUUCGGAAUACUUUUAUACAUUAAGCCAUUCCAUUCUUUUUAAAUAAAAUCACCUAAAUAAUCAAAUAUAAUUUCUAUUUAAAAACUCUCUAUCUGAUCAACAUUAUAUAUAUAUUUUUUUUUUGUUUUUAGAAAUUUUCGAAAAUUUUUCCCAUAAAAACACAAAAUAAUUUAAUUACAGCAAUGGUUUCAAAGUCGUGCAAGGCAAGUUCAUUUGGAGUUUGACUUGUCUUCAAGUCCAAGACAUUUGCUCUGUGUUUGGGUUGCCCAAAGUCUUAAGGCUAACGCUAAAAAUCUCAAUUUGGUAUAUACAAAAAAAUGACUGUUUUUUCAAUUAAUUCCAAAGUAAGAACAUUUAUCUAAAAAAAAAUAAUACAAAAUGAUGAAAAAAUAAUCAUUUUUUCAAAAAAGAAAAUGAUCUAGAAUUGGAUCAAUCACGUUUGUUAGAAGUGGUCAACAGAGUGGUUGUAACAGCCACAACUCAUCUAUAUAUUAUUGUAACAUCUGCUGAUGUACCUCAUAGUUGGGCUGUACCUUCCUCAGGUGUCAAAUAUGAUGUUGUACCUGGUUGUUUAAAUUAGAUCUCUACUUUGGAACAAGGAGGAGUUUACUAUGGUCAGUGCAGUGAGAUUUGUGGAACUAAUCAUGCCUUUAGGCGUGCGCUCAGAAACUGCUGAGCCAGAGUGAGCUCAGCCGCACCACCUCGCCCAGGGUGCGAGCCACCCGAGAAGCAAGCUACUACAAUUGCGGACCCGAAAAUCACAGAAUUCCUCAGACCAUCUCCCUUCUGCUUUCCUUCUUUCUGUUUUUGAUUGAGUUUCGGGUUCUUGCUACGGACUCAAACAAGUUAUCUUUAUGAUGCUCGGGAAACAUCUAUUCUGCUUGACUUUACUAAUUUGAGGCUCAAUUAGCUGCUAAUGGAGCAGAUUAUAUAUUCUAUGUCAUUUCCUCAUUCAGAGCCUAUAGAUCUGUUACUAGAAGAGUCAAUUCCAUAGCAACUUCUGAGGAAGUAGGACUAGAAGCCCGAUUAAGAAUAGGUUAGAGCUCCACUGCAACUUAGUCAAAGACUGCUACUUAUUACCUAACUUACCAAAUCUUUACUUAUUUAUUGGAAAAUUAUUUAUGUAAUGCUUUUAAAUUCAUUAAAUAAUAGUUUAAUAUAUAAAUUUACCUAUGUACUUCUCGCGAAAAGUCUCGUGGAACUCUCGACUUUUACUUUGUUCCAUUAAAUACUUCAACUUAUAAAAUUAGACAUGUUAAAUAUUUUAUCUAACUAAUUGAAUACCUCGACUUGUAAAAUUAAAUCAAUUAAAUAAUUAUUGAAUAACUAAAAAAUGUAAAAAUUAUUAUUUAAAAAUUGCAUUAACCACAUAUCAAAUCAAUAUUUUGCGUAUAAAGAUUAAAAAUCUUCAAAAUUGUUAUUUUUAAUAUAAGAAGACAUAUGAUUACAAAAAAAAUUAAGUGCGUCACCAAUUGUUUUUGUUAAAGUUUAAAGGUUAAAUUAUAUAUUCAAUCAUUAAUUAAAUAAUCAACGAGAUAUUGUGUUGGUAUGAGUGUCGUUGCAUGAUAACAUAAUAAGAAAGAGAUUGCUUAAUAGAGGCCGAACAUAUAAUUUAACCCCUAAACUAUAACAACAUAUUUUUAUGGCAUCACAAACUUUAAAUCAAAAAACUUUUGGCAUCUUGCACUUUACUUUUUAAACCUAAUAUACUAGUUUACUCUCAACUUUUCUGGCCAUUGUAAUUUCAGUUUAGUUCCACAAGCACUCUAAUUAUGACCUUUAGUGAUAAUUUCACCCUAACAUAAAAUUUAAAGUUAGAGUUUUGAAUAUAAAAAUACAAAUGUAGGACCCAUCUAACUGCCUUUCGUUAGAUUAACCCAUCAACCAGCCCUGGCUAAAACGGAUGUUCCAUUGAUGGCUAUCAUCAUCUUCUCUAACUCCAUGGGAACUCUAAGCUCUAUUGUCCCUUCAUCUUGUUUUUUUCUCCCUCCAUCUCUAUCUCUUUAAAUAUGCAAUAAAUUCAUCUUUUCUAUCUCACAUGUCUCUUCCGACCUUGCAGCUCCAUUCCAAAAUUUGGUUAUUUAAGUAUAACAAAUAAUUCAAGUAGCUCUGAAAUGGAAAAACUAAGAAGCUCCAAGAAUCUUAUUUAUUUCUAAGAACAAAAAUCAGGAGUUUGGUUGUGUAUAAGCAUGUGUUAGCGGUAAUUUGAGAGAAGAAUUUAUCAAUUUAGUUAUUAUUAUGGUCAUUGAAAUGAUAUAUUUGUAUUUGUUGGACUAUAUUUACUCUAUUUUUUAGAUUAUUUAAAUAGUUAAUAUAAUUAUAAUUUUUGGUGGAAUAAUAUUAUAUUAAAAUUUGCUCGAGUUUUAUUGAUUGAAAAAGAAAUUUGAAGUUCUUGCUUAUUACUAUAUGAAAUCUAUUGUGGACAUGACUCAUCUUGCUUCAAGUCUUUAUUUACUUGGAUUAUUGCAACCUAAACAUCACGAUCAUCAUGACAACAAAAAAAAAAAAAACAAAUCCAGCCUUCAAUAACAGCUUAGUUGUUAAAGUCAAAGUUAUAAAGGCUUCACCUACAUCGAUAGUGAUAGACAUGGCCUUACAGCUGAGUUGUGCUUUACCAAUUCAACGAUACAAACCCUAGAAAUUCAAAAUUAAUUACCCACUCAAGAGAGAUACAAAACCCACAAUCGGCAGAAACCAUCUGGUGAUAGAGAUAUAAAGAGGAAGAAAUUAAUCGAAGAGAAGAAAAAAGAUUGAGAUGCACAAAGACAGAGAUAGAAACUAGUGAAGGGAAGUGAUAAAAAAAAGGUAGAGAGUGAGAUGGAUAUAGAAGAGGAAAAGAAAAUGACACGUAUCGAGUAGAGUUAGAAUCAUUGGGUUAAGGUCACGCAAAGCAGUUAGGUGGUUUCUACGUUUAUAUUUUUACUAGUUAUAUUUAUGAUGUGUGAUGCACGUUGACUAUACUUGCAAUUAUAUGUUAUUUUUUUAUACUCGUUUAGCUUUUCUAUUUACAUAAUUAAAAUAUAAAUUCUUAUUUAGAUAAUAAUAAAUAUAGUGGUUUUUAUAUAUAUAAAAAUUUUUUUAAUUAUAUGUCUUGAACUGUAAUAUCUCAUUAAAAAAAUUGAUAUAUCUAUUUCUUACUUUAAAAUAGCAAUUUAAAUAAAAAAUAUAUUAUUUAUAUUCUCGUCAACAUACUGGUUCAUAUAGUUUUUAUUAUACAUUAGUUGCUUUUAUUUCUUUGCUUAACUACCAAAUUGAUUUAUAAAAAUAUCAUAUAACUUUUAUUUUACGUUUUAUAAUUAACUUACACGUUUUGUUAAUAACUUUCACUAUUAUCUAUUUUUAGUAAAUAAAUAUAUUUUAAUAAUAGAAUAAGAAACUAAUAUAAUAAAUCAAAUUAAACAUUUAUAAAUAAGGGUAAAUUAUUAUUUAGUCCCUCAGGUUUUACAUAAUUAACCAACUAAUCCUAAGUUUUGAGCAAAUAUAUAUCUAGCUAGUUCCUCAGGUUUAACUCCGUCUAAUUAAAAGGUCCUUCCGUCCGAAAAGUUAGUUUUUUUCCGUUAAUUGAAGACUAAAAGACUAAAAUACCCCUCCCUAGCUGACGUGGACUAUAAGGGAAAAUUAUUAUCUAGUCCCUCAGGUUUUACAUAAUUAUCUAACUAAUCCCAAGUUUUGCACAAAUAUCUAACUAAUCCCUCAGGUUUAACUCCGUCUAAUUGAAAGGUCCUUCCGUCCAAAAAGUUAGUUUUUUUCCGUUAAUUGAAGACUAAAAGACUAAAACACCCCUCCCUAGCUGACGUGGACCAGUAUGAAGCGAUAAUGAUAUACCUAGUUUGUUUCCCUUUUGUUCCUUCCAUGCUAUAAUGAUAUAUCUAGUUUAUCUUUUGCACAGAUAACCUUGCAUUAAAUAUUAAUAUUUAUAUUCAAAGUUAUGAAAUUAUAAUAAUAUAGGUGGCAAUAAUAAUUACUUUUUUUAUCUAUAAAUAACUAUUAUUUUAGAGCCGGUGUUUUCUCCGCAAAUAUCUUUUUUUUAGAAUAUUAAUGAGUAAUUAAUUUUUUUUUCAAUUUUAUCCUUAUUUAUAUUAAAUUUAAUAAUUAUUUUUAUAAUUUUCCAAAAUCAUAUAACAUCUCCUCUCUUACUUAAGGUUACGUAAUAAAAUUAAUUAAUAUUUUNNNNNNNNNNNNNNNNNNNNNNNNNNNNNNNNNNNNNNNNNNNNNNNNNNNNNNNNNNNNNNNNNNNNNNNNNNNNNNNNNNNNNNNNNNNNNNNNNNNNNNNNNNNNNNNNNNNNNNNNNNNNNNNNNNNNNNNNNNNNNNNNNNNNNNNNNNNNNNNNNNNNNNNNNNNNNNNNNNNNNNNNNNNNNNNNNNNNNNNNNNNNNNNNNNNNNNNNNNNNNNNNNNNNNNNNNNNNNNNNNNNNNNNNNNNNNNNNNNNNNNNNNNNNNNNNNNNNNNNNNNNNNNNNNNNNNNNNNNNNNNNNNNNNNNNNNNNNNNNNNNNNNNNNNNNNNNNNNNNNNNNNNNNNNNNNNNNNNNNNACUAGUUAGAUAUUUGCGCAAAACUUGGGAUUAGUUAGAUAAUUAUGUAAAACCUGAGGGACUAGAUAAUAAUUUUCCCUUAUGGUCCACGUCAGCUAGGGAGGGGUGUUUUAGUCUUUUAGUCUUUAAUUAACGGAAAAAAACCAACUUUUCAAACGGAAGGACCUUUUAAUUAGACGGAGUUAAACCUGAGGGACUAGCUAGAUAUUUGCUCAAAACUUGGGAUUAGUUGGUUAAUUAUGUAAAACCUGAGGGACUAAAUAAUAAUUUACCCUAUAAAUAAUCAUAAUUUUUAUUUUUAUUUUUAUUUUUUUAUCCAAUUAAAAUUAUGAAAUCAUUUAAACAAUUUAUUAAUAAAAUUAUAUUCCUUAAUAGAAAGAAUAAGAUUGAAUUAAAAUAAGAUAUAAAUAUAAUUAAUCAAAUUCGAGAUGUUCAAAAAUAAUAAUUUUUUAUCUUAUUUUUUGGCCAACCAAAUUAGAGUGCAAUUUAUAAUUAAAAAAAAAUUUAACCAUACCCUUUUAAAAUUAAAAUCUUAAUUAUUUAGAUAUAUUUAUUUAAAAAAUUCAAAAAAAUAAAAAUUUUCAAAUGCCUUAUAAUUAUACAUAUUCAUUUAAAAUAAUAAUGUUAAAGAUAAAUUACAAUAAUUAGAAUAAAAAAAAAUAAAUUAUUAAAAUUAUUAUUAAUAAUUUAUAUAAUAAUAUAAUAUAAUUAGACAUAAUAAGGUAAUAAUAGUAAAAUUUUAAAUUUUCAAAAAUUUAAUUAUCUAUAUGUAUUUAUCUAUUAAAAAAAGUUAAAAAAAUAUCCAAUCAAAUUAUAGAGAUACUAUAUAUAUUUUUAUGUUAAAAUUUUUUAAUUGGCUAUGACUAAAUUUACUUUAUAGAGUAUCUUAAAAUUUACAAAGACAAUAUAUAAAAUCUGAUUAUUUCCUCCUCUUUAUUUCCACUUUUAUAUGUAGUAUAGAUAGACAGAGAGACACAUAGAUAUAAUAAGAAAAUAUUAUAUAUUUUUUUAAAAUUAAAAUUUUUAACUGUUCAUCAUCACACACACACAUAAGUUCUAUUUAUUUAAAAACAAAUUUUAAAAAGUAAAAAUUUGAAAUUUGUAAAGCUUAAUUAUAUAUAUUCCAUUUGAAAAUUUAAUUUUUAAAAAAUAUAUCCAAUCAACUUAUACAAACAUAAAGAAAAAAAUAAUAGUAUAAAAGAAUUUACUUUUUUUUUUCUUUUUUAAAUCUCUUCCAAAUAGAAUGUUUAAAUUAUAAUAAAACCAUAAUCAAAUGUUCAAAAAUAUAUUCUAGUUUGUUUUAUGAUGUGCGUUGCACGUUUAAUACUCAUAGUUUGUACUUGUUUAUUUUCAUAUAUAAUGUUCAUUAUUUAUUUAUAAUUUCUCUCUUAUAUUGUGUAUAGCUUUUUAAUGUUAGAACUUCAUCCUUUUAUUGUGAAUGCAUAAAUAGUUAAAAAUAAAUUAAAAAUUUUAAUCAAGUUAAAUCUAACUGAGUUUAGGUAGUUUAUAUUUAAAAUCAUUGAUUUUAAUAAUUUGUAUACCAUUUAAGUUAAAAUUUAUUUAUAAAAUUUAUCAAUUUUAAAAAAAUUAAUUCAAAUAUAAUCAAUUUAAUAAAUAAAAAAUCUGAACUCAAGUGAAUUUUCAUUUAUAUUAAAUAUAAAAAAUAUAUAAAUUUAUAUUGAAAUUAUAUAGAAUUCAUUUAGACCAAAUGAAUUAAAAUAAGAUAUAAAUAUAAUUAAUCAAAUUCGAGAUGUUCAAAAAUAAUAAUUUUUUAUCUUAUUUUUUGGCCAACCAAAUUAGAGUGCAAUUUAUAAUUAAAAAAAAAUUUAACCAUACCCUUUUAAAAUUAAAAUCUUAAUUAUUUAGAUAUAUUUAUUUAAAAAAUUCAAAAAAAUAAAAAUUUUCAAAUGCCUUAUAAUUAUACAUAUUCAUUUAAAAUAAUAAUGUUAAAGAUAAAUUACAAUAAUUAGAAUAAAAAAAAAUAAAUUAUUAAAAUUAUUAUUAAUAAUUUAUAUAAUAAUAUAAUAUAAUUAGACAUAAUAAGGUAAUAAUAGUAAAAUUUUAAAUUUUCAAAAAUUUAAUUAUCUAUAUGUAUUUAUCUAUUAAAAAAAGUUAAAAAAAUAUCCAAUCAAAUUAUAGAGAUACUAUAUAUAUUUUUAUGUUAAAAUUUUUUAAUUGGCUAUGACUAAAUUUACUUUAUAGAGUAUCUUAAAAUUUACAAAGACAAUAUAUAAAAUCUGAUUAUUUCCUCCUCUUUAUUUCCACUUUUAUAUGUAGUAUAGAUAGACAGAGAGACACAUAGAUAUAAUAAGAAAAUAUUAUAUAUUUUUUUAAAAUUAAAAUUUUUAACUGUUCAUCAUCACACACACACAUAAGUUCUAUUUAUUUAAAAACAAAUUUUAAAAAGUAAAAAUUUGAAAUUUGUAAAGCUUAAUUAUAUAUAUUCCAUUUGAAAAUUUAAUUUUUAAAAAAUAUAUCCAAUCAACUUAUACAAACAUAAAGAAAAAAAUAAUAGUAUAAAAGAAUUUACUUUUUUUUUUCUUUUUUAAAUCUCUUCCAAAUAGAAUGUUUAAAUUAUAAUAAAACCAUAAUCAAAUGUUCAAAAAUAUAUUCUAGUUUGUUUUAUGAUGUGCGUUGCACGUUUAAUACUCAUAGUUUGUACUUGUUUAUUUUCAUAUAUAAUGUUCAUUAUUUAUUUAUAAUUUCUCUCUUAUAUUGUGUAUAGCUUUUUAAUGUUAGAACUUCAUCCUUUUAUUGUGAAUGCAUAAAUAGUUAAAAAUAAAUUAAAAAUUUUAAUCAAGUUAAAUCUAACUGAGUUUAGGUAGUUUAUAUUUAAAAUCAUUGAUUUUAAUAAUUUGUAUACCAUUUAAGUUAAAAUUUAUUUAUAAAAUUUAUCAAUUUUAAAAAAAUUAAUUCAAAUAUAAUCAAUUUAAUAAAUAAAAAAUCUGAACUCAAGUGAAUUUUCAUUUAUAUUAAAUAUAAAAAAUAUAUAAAUUUAUAUUGAAAUUAUAUAGAAUUCAUUUAGACCAAAUAAGAUUGAAAUAAAAUUGUUAAUUACAAGAAUUUUAAUUUUUUACAUGUUUGGCCAAAUAAGAAAAUCAUUAUAUAUGAUAUUGUAAAGAAAUUUUGCUACAUAAUCUUUAAUCAAGUGGUUUUACUUAAUAAAAUGAAGGAUAAAUUUUGAAACUAAUUUUGGGUAGGUGAGAAUAUACAAUCAUCUUAAUUUGAAACCGCACUGAAUUAAAUUAAAAUUAAAGUAAAUUUUCAAAAUGAAAACAACUUCAAAUUAAAUAUAGUUCAAAAUCUAAUUAGCUCAACCGGUUUUACAUGGUGUUUUGGGUUGGUCAAUUUAAGCCUUUCACUAAAAAUAAAAAUCAAAUAAAAAAAUUAAAUUUAUCUGUGCAAACUAAAAAUCAAUCUAAAUCAGUUUUACCUGAUGUUUUAAUAUCCUUAAAAUUAGAAAAUGUUCCUAAAAUUGCAAAGGAAUAUAAGUUCUCUUUUUUUGGAGAAAUCUUGGACCAUUAAUUAAUAUAAUAUUUAAUUAAUUAAUCUAAUAAUAAUAUUUUUGAACAUAUUGAAUAACUCCAACUAAGUGCAAAAUUGAUAAAGUAUAUUAUAUAAUUCCCUUCUACUUACUAUUUAUUAUUCUCUUUCUCUCUUUAUUCUUAAUUAUCCGAUAUGGGAUAAAUAGUUUUAACGUGUGGAUAUAUAUUUCAUACAAAUAUAUUUAAAAGAAGAUUAAAAAAAAUAUAUCAAAUUUCACAUAAACUAUUAGAUCAAUUAAAUAUUUAUUAUUCUUAUUAUUGUAUAAGAUUUUUUUACCUUUAUUGCCAUAAUCCAAUUAUUUCUAAGAGUAUUAUAAAAGAAGAAUAUCACAUAUUCUUUUUUAUAAUAAAAAAAGAAAAAUAUUAGGUAAUUAUUUUUUUUCUUAGAUUAUCGUCUAUAAGAAAAAGAAAGUGAAGAAAAAAAUUAAUUAAAUAUUCUCGUAUACACCACUUUAUCAUUUAUUAUUUUUUCAUAAAACGAACUAAAAAAAAUUAAAUAACAGAAUAUUUAUAUGUAAUAUAAUUUCCAAAAUUUAUAUUUAAAAUUUAUUCUAUUUACAAAUUUAUUUUAAAAAAAUAUAUCCAAUCAAAUGAUACAAACAUAAAAAAAAAUAUUAAUAAAAAGUAUUUUUUUUCUAUUUUUUAUCUCCCUCCUAAAUUAAAUACUUUAACUAAUAAUCAAAAUGAAAUUAAAUAAAUAAUAAAUUUUAAAAAUAAAAUAUAAAAAUAAAAUAUAAUAUAAUAUAAACUUUAAAUUAUAAUCAUAUAUAUUUAUUAAAAAUAAAAUUGAAAAAGAUAAAACUUAAAAUUUUGAAUAACUUAAAAUUUUUAAUACUUAAUUAUCCAUACGUAUUUAUUUAAAAAAUAAUUUUUAUAAAUUAUAUUCAAUCAACUAAUAGACUAUAUAUAUAUUUCACAUAAAUAUAUUUAAAAGAAGAUAAAAAGAAAUAUCAAAUUUCACAUAAGUUAUUAUACCAAUUAAAUAUUUAUUAAUCUUAUUAUUAUAUAAAUUUUUUUCACCUUUAUUACCAAUCUGAUUAUUUGUACGAGUAUUAUAAAAGAAAAAUAUCACAUAUCAGAAUAUUUAUAUGCAAUAUAAUUUCAAGAAUUUAUAUUUAAAAUUUUGUUCUGUUUGAAAAUUUGUUUUAAAAAAAUAUAUUCAAUCAAAUCAUACAAAUAUAAAGAAAAAGAGAGUAUUAAUAAAAAAUAUAUAUUUUUAUUUUUAUCUCCCUUCUAAAUAAAAUACGUUAAAUUAUAAUCAAAAUGAAAUCAAAUAAAUAGUAAAUUCAAAAAAUAAAAUAUAAAAAUUUUCAAAUGUAUCAUUAUCAUAUAUAUUUGUUAAAAAAUAAAUUUAAAAAUAAAUUAUAUCAAAUCAACUAAUAAAUAGUAAUUUUUAAUUGCCAUCAUUAAGGGUAUUUUAGAACAUUUUAAAUUUCAUUAAAAGUGAUAUAGGUAAUUUCAUUAUUCUCUCUCAUUCCACUUUUAUAUAUAGUAUAAAUAUUCAAAAAUCUAGCUUUAAUUUUAUUUUAGGAUGCAAUUGUCACUAAUGAUCAUAAUUGGGGUGUCCAUGGAAUAAAACUCAUUCUAGAGCGAAAUUACAACCGAAAAAGUUAAGAGUGAAAUAAUAUAUUAAGCCUUACUUUUUAUAAUAAUCUCGCACCUCUUUAUGCGAAAAAUAAUAAAUUUUUAAGGUUCUUAAUUUUCAUUCAUAAAAUAAUAAUUUGAUAUAUGAUUAAUACAACUUUAGAAUAAUAACUUUUACUUUUUUUCAAUUAUCCAAUUAGUGUUUAAUUAAUCUAAUUUUAUAAUUCAAGCGCUUCAUAGAUCAAAUUAAAAAUUGAAGAUGCGGUAAGUUUUUCAGGAAAAGUACAAUCGCGAAUUUAUAUAUUGAGCUGCUUAACAGACCUUAUUAAGUGAAUGUAUUAUAUUAUGAAAUUGCUCUUAAUUUAUUGCUUGAUGAAUGCAAAUCUAAUUUUCAAGUUAUUUCAAUGUGUUUUCUAAUUUAAUUUAUACCAUAUUUGUUGUUCAAUAUAAUGGUUUUUUUGAAAACAAUUUCAAGACACGGUAGUUUAAAAAAAAAAAAUCUAAAUGUUCCUUAUAAGAGCAUUGGUUGAUAACAAUAUAGGAUAUUAAACAAAAUUAUUAAAUUAUAUUUAUUAAAUUAUUACUCCUUCCAUUUCUGUUAAAUUUGACAAUUUUUAACUUUUUUUUUUUCUAUUUCAUUUAGAUGACACUUUUACGAGAUCAAAAGAACAUUAAUUAUUUUAUUCCGAUUUUACCAUUAUUUAAAAAUAUACAUUAAAUUUUAUUUUAUACAAGAAUUAAUUAAAAGAUAAUUUAAUCGAUCAUUCUUUUUUUUUUUUUUUUCGAUUGAGGUUAUUCAAUCAUUUGUUUAAUUUUUAUGAAAAAGUAAAAAACUGGUAAAAUUUAGCGAAACGGAGAGAGAGUAGUUAAAUUUAUAUGGUUUAAAUGAAUAUGAAGUAGGGCCAAUUUCAUGGGAAACUCCUGUUAAUUAUUAUCAUGAUAAGAUGCGAACCAUAUCCUUGAAAAUGCAAAUGAUGAAUGGUGUCCUCAAACUUCAAGCAUUCAUGACCAUGGAAAUGCACCUCUCCUUUCAUAUUGCGCGCAUAGCAGUUUGGCAGUAGUGAUCUGCCCAACUCAGUACGAUAGUCAAAAUCUUAUCACACACAAAAAAAAAAAAAAAAAAAAGUCAAGACCCGCACUUGUAGAGAUAGUCUUACUGUAAAUGCAUAUAAGACACGUAGAUUAAAAUUGGAAUCCCUCCUCGUAACUUGCAACAAAUAAUAAUUUUGUACAAGGAUGAUCAGAUUAACACAGACAGUACUCCAUAGCAGGCAACGUCCAUCAAAACCCAACCCAGAAGCUGCUCUUGCUUAAACUGUGAGCAAGCAACUCUAUUAAUAUAUUUAUCUCACUUGGCAAUGACUGCAUAAGCCAAAUGUGAAAUGUGUUGUAACUUUUGAAUCUAUCAGAGAAACCAGAUCCGACUCUCUUUUCUGAAUAUGAAUGCAGUACCUGGCUGUCGCAAUGGCUUCAUACGCUCCAAAUCCAAACUGUUUCAGGCAUUACAGCUCUUGUUUAAUACUCUUAUCCACUUGUUCCAUAUCCCUUCAAAAUCUGCUUUCAGCAGAAAGCAGAAACAGGGGAAGUGAGACAGAAAAUUGCCUAUCGCUGUUAGAGAAACAUUAAUCAAAAUGUUCAACCAUUAGUAAAACUUGCAAAGAUAAUAAUAAUUGUUAGAGCACUAUGUCACCUUUUAGCCCUUUAUCUCUCUCCUUCAUCAAAAUUUAGUAUUCACGGAAGUUACAAAUCCAAAGCCUGAAAGAUACUAGUUUGCCAAGGAACUCAAAAUAUCCCAGCUUCUUUGCAUGUAGGAAGGCAAGGGAGCAUCCAACUCAAUGGUUUCCAUAUCAGAAAAAUUAUAAUCUGGCGAUAUUUUUGCAUCUUGCAAAGCUUGAGACACGUUGGGUAAAACCAUUUGCUUGCAAUGAAGAUGAAGCCGGGGUUGCUUUUCGGAUAUGCUUCCACUUUCAAAAUCAAUUCCCAAAGGAAGCAUUUUUUCGCAGGGCACUUUAUCAUGCAAGGUUUUUUCAAGAUCAGACCAAUGCAAAUGUUUCCACUUCCUAUGAGCUUGCCACCCAUAUUUAUAGUCUCCUACUAUAGGAGUACCCAAUACUUCAGCACAGUGUACACGCAACUGUUGUGCCCGGAGAUGGUUGGUUGAGAAGUAUUAGGGCAGGGAGAAAAAAUUAUCAAGAGAAAAUAAGGAAAUACAAAAGGAACAGCCAGAUAUUUGUUGGUUGUGAUUUAUACCUGAUGCUUUCUCCCAGUGAGAGGUGACAGCUCCAACCAUGUGUAGUCUGCGUUAAGCCAAAGAUAUAGUUACAGGGCGAAAAGCUACGUUUUUUAACAAUCUGUGUGUGAACAACCAGACACUGCAAUUGCUUAUGGUUCACAAAUGCCAAUGUAGACAUCUCUGAUAAAAAAAAAUAUAUAUAUUCAUGUAACAGAUACCUGAUGCGUUCUCUAUGCUAGAAGGGUAUGCCUCAAUCAAAGGUUUUUAAGUGAAAUUUAGAGUGCUAUUCAAACUAGUUCUGUUGAGUAGAUCAAAUCCCAUUCAAGAGGCAUAAUUUAAUUUGGCUAUAAAUUUGUCUUGAAAAUAAGAAAUAAAGAGUUUUCUGCUUAAUGUGGUAGAUAUGGAGAUAUAUAAAGUCAACUUCAUCUGUGAAGAAUUGACACUCUUAUUAUAGUUCAUCAAUGUUUCAUUAGUUGGCUUAGUUCUUUGCCAACAGUUCUUCCUUGUUCAGUCACUACAACACAGUGUGGUAGUUUAUCAUACUGUGAAUGCUGAAAUAUUUCAAUAAACCUUUGGAAUUCAGGAUUAAACAAUAGCAAUAAGUGUUAGCUAAAUUCUAUUCAAAAGCAUUUUUACUUCUCUUUGAUCUUAAAUAAAAUAAAACGAUCCUGCAAAUAAUUAGGAUUAACAGGAUACUUAGACACGUAAUUUUCCAAAUUUCCUUUUCUAUUCUUUAACCUGGGAUUAAGAUCUACAUGAAAAUGUAUAAUCAGAGUUGCAGACAAAUGCUAACCUUGAAAAGAUUCAAGUACUCUAUAAUGUGUUACAGCAUGCUGAGAAGAUGUGUUAUGUACGUUCUCAAUCACUGUUAUUCGAUCAGAUUUUCCAUUGUCCACCAACACCUAAAAGCAAUCAAAGCCAAAAAAAUAAGCGUCAUUUUAGUCAGAAAAACCUUACAAGGAAAAGCCAAAAUCCAUUAGACAUUACUUUCUGGAAAUGGAAAACUGUUGCACUAUGGCUAGGUCAUUACUUGGCAUGCUGCCAAGAUAUCUGUGUUUUUUAUUUCAAAGUCAGCCAUAUAAUAAGUCAAGUGUAAUCUUUAUUCUCUAACACCAGCCUGGAAUCUGACACUUGCUCAGUUCACCGCUUGGGGUUACAUAUGUCCCUCCCUCCAGCUCCUAAAUUAAAAAUUCUCACAACAAGUUCUUUGGCCCAUCAUAAUAAAGUUUUGAUUUUUGAAUUACUGCUAAAAGCAGUAAUAAGGCAAUACUGCUCUUAUUUCACAGGGGCUAUGCCUCCAAAACUGACUUGUUUACCCAGUAAAGCAUUUCUUUGAAGACAAAUCACAUAAAUUGGAGAUAAAUGAGGUCAUGCUGAUCAUAACGUGAUUAUUAUUGAAGCACUAAAGGAGUUAAUAAAAAUUUAACCCAGAUAGUUCAGAGUUUUCUUAAGAAUGCUAUGGAAAACUCCUUAAUAACAGAUGGCCCAGGAAAUCUAAUCACACUGAUCAUCCGUCCACGCAAUUUAAUUAAUGAAAGAAAUCAACUAGCAGAAAUGACCACAUUACUAUGAAUCUCAGUUAGAAAUAGACAAUUUCUGACAAAUGAAUGCUCAGGACAAAUGCAUUAAACAACUUUCUAGGCAAAAAAACCAGGUUCAAGUUUCCUUUUAUAUUCACCAAAUGAGUAACUGAGGUUCAAGCUUUUUGGGCAUUUCCCAGUCAGUUUUGACAUGUAAGCUGAAAUAAGGUAACAAAAAUAACUAGACUAACUGUCUUCUUGUGCUUGUGCAUAAAGGAUUUAUGCAUCCAAAUGAUCAAUCUUUUAAAUUCAACGGUCUUUUCUUUUGUUCCUUCAGUUUAGAAUAGAAUCCAAAUAUUCAGAAAAAUUAGAGGAGGCUUCCAACAAGUGGUGUUGAAAUCCAAAAAUUUAAAAAUAAAUUCAAAAAAUUACUUCUGAUAAUGCAUUGCCGUUAAGAAUCAAGCUUGUGCCUACCUUUCCCAGUGGUGCAGAAAUCAAACCCUUUUGGCAUCUUGGCGAUCCAAUAACAAGUGCCCAAUACUUUCUUUGCAGGAUUCUUCUUCUGUCACCAAUAUCCUUGAAAAAGAAGACAACCAUUAACCUGUAAGAAUAACAGAACUAACAAUUUCCCAUUUCUCUUGAACAAAUGUCUUAUCAAAUUUAAGCAAAAUCAGGGAUAAAAAAAGAUAUAGAUAGGCAAUUACUUACAUCAUUUGAUGCUGCAAAUGUUUUCUCCCGGAAGACAGAAUGCAGAACUGUUGUACUUGUUUGUGUCCUUCCCAUCACCAGGAUGCCACUACUAUCUCUAUCAAGUCUAUGAACCUAAUAGACAAAAGAUUCAGCAUAAAAAUAUUUGCAUAAUAACCAAGUACGUGAACAAUCUGCAGGAAUAUUCAUGGAAAGAAAGAACCAUCUCCAUUGAGCUAAGUACUACAGGAUGUUGAAUAGCAUAAACUUUGAGCAACAUAAGUAAUUUGAGUACAAAUCUCCAUUAUUUUAACUCAAUGCUACUUUCAAGUUAAUCAGGGACACCCCUAAUCAAAUUCUACAUCACCCACCGUUCAAAUUCCUAUUACUAUAUUUUUAAAAAAUCACAUCCAGAAAAAUAUGUUAUUGUUGAACCCAAUGCACUUAAACAUGAAGUGACUAUGAAAUCAAAAUUAAAUAAAGCAAAUUCAUAAUGAACACACCAGCCUAGGCGGUUCUGAGUAGUCAUAAGAUAAACAACUUGCAGCCAGUUCAUCUAAACUUCUUUUGAUGCCAAUGCCACCCUGUCCAAACAUGUAAAAGAAAGCUUUUUGCGCAAAUGAUCCAAAAGAACAGAAAACAUUCAGGGAGCACCAAAGUAUACCUCACCUGAACAGGAAUUCCAGGAGGUUUGUUGACAACUAUGAUGAUAUCAUCCUAUCCCAAAAAAAAUCACGACAUUCAAAUUUUGGGCAAUGAUAAAUCUUAAUAUAUCUAAAGUAACAGAGUCAAAGUUACAACCUUAUACAACUCAAGGCUACGAAUAAAGUUAACUGCUUCUUGAUUAUAAACGUUCUGUUGUUUCUCAGAAGGCAAUGCUUGGACAGUAAUAGGAAGAAAUAUUCUAUCCCCUAUGCUCAUCAAGUCCUUAGCUGCCACCUUCCAGUAAUUUCAGAUUUCAGAAAAGAAACAAAAAGAGUAAAACCAAUAAUUCUAAGAAAAAAAACCAUAGGACACACCAUACCAUCAAAAUUAAACCAUUCAUUUCAAUUCUCAUAUAUUCAAAUGGACCCGAGAUGAUAUAAUUUCCAAUUCUAAAGAUAAAAAGAACAACUUUCUAAUAAAACAGAAAGCUUCAAUGGUACCCUUUUAACUUUCUGUUCCUCUGCUUGAUCACGCAGAUUAGAAGACUCCCUUCGAACCUUUAACCGAACAAACCAUGAAAAAUCACUUCAGAUUCCAAAAAAUUUAAUGUUUCAUACAAAACCAAGGACACCCGUGAAAGUGAAAGACCUGUCUCAACCGAAAUAGUUUCUGUACGAGGCUUCUAGGGAGUUCCGGACAGCAUCGAAGAACCCACUUGAGCGCCGUUGUUUCAUUGGCCAGUUUCUCCGAAAUGCUGACAGAUAACGCUUUUCCCAAGGCGGAUCCGCUGAUUGUCGAAGUGUAAGGAGGUAAAGUGAACCAUUUGCCUUUCUUUUUGUCAUCAAUUUUAUAGUUUUGGUCUUUUAGUGAGGUUUGGGUGUGAUUACUAAGGUAGUGACACCGAAGUAUGCCGGCAGCUGAGACAGAGUACCGAUUGGAGAUUGUCAGUGCCGAAGGGAAGCGGAGAACACGGCAGAGGAAGGCAGUUUCCGGCAUCAGAGUUAAAUUUUUGGGUUUUCUUGGUUUUGAGUUUAGAAGAGACGGAGCGCUUACAGGGGACUAGGAGGGUUUUACGACCCGGAAGUUUGUGACUAUAUCCAGUCACCGGUCAAAGUUUUGGACCAACCGGAAAUGGAGUUCAGGGCUCCGGUUGGUAAAUUUUGGGCCUAAUCAAAAGCAGGCCAGCCUAACUAAAAAGACCCACAUAUACAGUGAAAUUUAGGAUUUGUUUCCUAAAUUUUAUAAUUUUAAUUAAUAAAUUAAUAUUACUAAUAAAAUAAUAAUUUAAUUUUAUUCUUUAUUAAAUAAAGGCACUUUUUUUAUCAAAUAAAUAAUUAAGGGCACUUGGUUAAUUAAUUAAUCAUUGUUAUAAUGUCCUUGGAUUAUAACUUCAACUAGUUACAUACUUAGACAUUCUGUCGAAUAAAAAUAACUAUUGUGUUUAAGAUUCAAAUUUAUAAAUUAAUGAAAAUAUUUUUGAAAAUUUAUUAAUUCCAUAUAGAAAUAAUCAAUAUCAUGAUUCAAAAUUUUUCAUUUAUUUUUUCCAAUUAUUUGACAAAAACUAAAAUUAAAAAUAACAAACAAACUAAAGAGAAAAAUUCAAAUUUUUCUAAAAAGGUAAAGAAUAUUAAAAAUAAUAUAACAAUAAUAGUCAUUCAGUCUCAUCAAUAUAAAAAUGGAAAAGGAUAUUAUUCCAAUUUCAAAAACCCACAUUUAAAAUUAAUAAAUUGGUUGAAAACUCAUGUAAUUUUACGUUCUAUCAUUUAAUUAGAAAAUAAAAUAAAUUUUGUAAUAUUUUUAGUAAAAGGCCUAAAUUUUAUUAUUGACAUAGGGUGAUGGAAUUGACACAAUGUCACCAUUGAGGUGAAAUUUUUCUCUUUUACAAAAAAGUGAACUUGAGGCUAUAAUGAAAUUCAUAAUUCCAUGAAUUUUGACAUCUUUUUUAUCAACUAAAUAAAAAAAAAAAUGAUAAAUCAAAGAAAUGUUUAAAUUCCAUCAAUCGUUAGACAUCAAAUCAAGAGGAAAAAUUUAUAAGGUGAGAAUUUAUAAAAUGUGAUCUAUUUUAUCAUCAUUUUUUAUAUGUAAAUUCUCUCAAGAGCAACUCAAAGAGUAAUACCAAAUAGACUCAAUAUCUCAUACAUGGGUUGCAUUAUUAUUCUCUACCAAAAGGAAACUGGACAUUAUUAUAAAACUAAUUUAAAGGAAAAAAAAAAAAAAAAGAUGAGGAUAGUACAGUAUGAGAAAACAAAAAGGCAAGGUCCUACUCUACACAUACUUUAAGAAUUAACUAGGAAAGUUGAGGGACCAUUGAUUAAUGUUGCUACUGGUGCAUGCCUUUGAAACAUCAGUGUCCCUGACCAGGGGUUGGACCACUAGAAUCUCUCCUUCUUCCUGAAAUUUGAAGCUUUCUUGUUCUGUGUCCCCGACCACCAGGGCUUGGCCCUGAAUGCUUAAUGCCUCUCAGACUUAACCUGUUGAAAGAAUCCUCCAUGCCCAGCUUCAGUGUAGUAGCCAACUUCAAAUCUUUCAUUUGCAGAGCUUCUGAUUUGGUGAAAAGAAGCAAGUUCAGUAAGAGCAGCAGAAGAGCAUUACAACUUGGAGGCCUUAGUUUCUGAGUCAUUUUUGGUGCUGGUGAUAAUAUAUAAAACUACAGGAGAGAUGCAAGGUAUAUAUAGUAGCUAUGGUGCAUGCAAAAACUUGGAGUUUGAGCUAUAAGAAAGAAUUAAAAAAAGAGAGAGUUAUAAGUACAAUUAACUACUAACUAGUUGUGCUUUUAUAGCAGUAAAGGUGAUCUUGGGUACUUGAUCAAACCCAUGUGAUUUGUCUCCUAGGAUUUUAAGGCAGUUAAUAAAUAAAGAUUUUUGUGAAUAAGUCCACGAUCAUUUUUUUUAAGGUCGCAAAUGUUUAGACCCCUUUUCUACGUCAGAAGGUAUAGGAAGUGUACAUAUAGUUAUACAUCCACAACAUUUAAUUAUGAAAUGGGAUUGAUUUACCUAGAUUUAAACAGGAUCAAAUUAAUAAAAAAUAUUUCUUAUUGAAAUUAUGGCUUGACCCAAAAAAGAAUAAAAGUGAUAAUAAUUUUUUUAAAAGUUAUGUUUUAAUUAAUUUGAUCUAUGGAUAGACUCGGAUCUUGAUAAAUUUAAUCCUAACAAUUUUUUUUUUAAUAUAAACCAUCGGUAUCCAGAUCCAAUUAUUAAGGAAUGCCUAAUUUGACAUGAGACUUAGUUAUAGUUAAGACUUUUCGCAUAAUCCUGCAGGUGUAUUUAGUGGGGAUCAAAUUCGAGAGCUCUUUGCACAUAUUCGGCCUAUGUUGUCAACUGAACCACAACCCAUAGAUUAAUUCUAACGAAAUUUGAAUGUUCUUCAACUAAGAAAAUGACAAAACAAUAAUAAAUAUUAAUAAUCUUAAUCUAUGGAAAGUGAAUAUAUUAUUCAAUGAAAAUAAGUACAAAUGCUCAACAUGUUGAUUGCUAAACUGGCCAGUGAUGAUUAAUUAAUAUCUUUAUGAUAUUAAUUAAUUAUAAGACAAAUGAUAUUAAUUAAUUAUAAGAUAAAUACUUGGUCAUAGAACUAUUUUAAUCAUAAAUGGUAUUGUCUUUUGAUAGUUUUAAAUAAGGUUAAAUGUAUAAAUUGACACUUGAAUUUGAUAAGAAAAAUCUAACGGGAUUAUGUUAAUCUAUCAAUCUCUUCAAUUAUAAAAUUAUACUUAUUGAAGACUUUAACUCACUAUAAAAUUAUACUAAUUGCACACUUAUAAGAUAGUAAUUUGAAAACCAUUCUUUAACAAUAUUUGUUAGAAAAGACAAAUAAAACAUCCACUCAUGCUAUACAAUAUGUAAUUGAAAAAUAUAUGAAAUCCUAUUUAACACAUACAAUUCUACAAGUUAAAAUAUUUAAUUGGUAUAAUUUCUAUAAAUUGAAUAGCAUAACCAAUCAACUUAAAAGUUAAAGUUGCCGUUAGACUUUCUAGGUGUUAAAUUAAGUUCAGCCUCUUAAACAAUAUCGACUUCUGUGCAAAGCAUCAUGCAUGUUCUCUCUCCUUAGUCCGAUUUUCAAAAAUUCUUAUAAGAAAUAGAAUAUCUAAAAAAGGUGAUGAAUACAGGAGCACAUGGAAGCAUAUACGAAAUAGAAGUCCAAUGUUGUAAUAAAGGGUGUUAAUAAGAAAGCUACACUCACAAUAUUGUCAAUUUUCAUGGCUGGCCGACGGUUAGCACUCUAUCAAUAUCAGUCGCAGCCUCCAGGUGGGGGACCAAAUUCCAUGCAAAAUACCCUAAUUUAAUUAGUUUGUUUGCUUUUUCUUGGUACACGCAUUCUCCAUCGCUAGUGUAAUUGUUUGGAGACUCUUACCAUCAAAGCCACUUUCACUUAUUUCAACACUGUUUGAACAGAACUCGCCAUGGGCGGUUCCAGACUGGAACCUUUACAAUAUUUGAAAUUCCAACUGUCAAAAAUUGUGGAAUUUUUUAGGUUGAAAUCAGCCGAAACCAUGUCAAUUUUAAAAGGGUGUCGACAGACAGUUAAGCUAGAGAUGUUUAAUAAAAAAUUUCAAUCAGUAGGCAUUUUAAAGUAGUUUUGUUUUUUAUCAAGUCGCAGUUCACGAAAUCGCACUCUAUUUUUACAUAUUUUGAUUUGUAUUAAUUAUGUGUGGCUGUCAUACAAAAAAUUUGUUUGAACAACAUAUCUAACUCAAACCACCAAUAUUCCCAUUUUUUUUAAGAAUUCCCCCAUAUAUGAAUUUAACUCGUGCAAAUUUGAUAUAUGCAAAAAGAACUGUACUUGGGAAUUAUUUCCUCGUAUCUAUUUAGCAAUAUUAGCUAUUUUAAUAGUUUUUAAUUGUUAUUGCAGCUGUUGGUAGUUCUAUUAAUUGUUAGCUGGCAAUUUAAAAUGUUCGAUAAAUUAAAAUAUUUGUUUAACCCUAAAAUUAUAUAAAAAAAAUGACAUUAGUUGUUUAAUUAGCUUAAUUCAGAAGAAAAGGCAAUAGGUAUAAUUGUCAACAAAAUUUAAUUAAAAGCUAUACACUAAUGUUCAAAUGGUUAAAAUUUUUAAAAAAAUUUUCUACAACCUCUAAAAGCUACGUUACCGAAUGCUAUAACUAAUAAAAAUAGUGUACAAUUAAAAUAAAUGGUGUUUUGAUUUAGUUAAAACGCUAAAAUUUAGCUCAAAUGCUGUUGCCGAAUAGGGCUCUCUUCUUUACCACAAUAUAUUAUACUAGUUUUUUUUUCCCACAAUAUAUUGUUCUUUUUAUACUCAUUGCUUAUAUUUGUUUAUUUUGAUAUAAUAUUAAGUAUUGAUUAUAAUUUUUAUUUUAUAUUAUUUAUAUGAAAAGUUAGCAAAUUUUUUAGGGCCGGAAUUAUUUUUAUGUAACUGCUAAUAAAUUGUAUAUAUUAAUCAGGUUUAAAUUUACUAAGUUUUGAGAAUCUAUAUUUAAAAUCAUUGGUUCUAAUAAUUCAUAUCCUCUUAUUAAGUUCAAAAUUUAUUUAAAAAUCUAUAAAUUUUGAUAAAGUUUAAUGCAACUAUAACCAAUUUAAUAAAAUCAAAACCCUAAAUUAUAAUGAACUUUUACAUAUAAUAAAUAUAAAAAAAUAUCAAUUCAUAAAUAAAUUAUAUAAAAUUCAUUUACACCAAGCUAUUGAAUUGUGCAUUAUGUUUUAUAAUAUUUACAAACAAGUUUGUAAUUAUAAUUUUUUAAAUGCUUUACCGAGUAAGAAAAUAAUUAUAUAUCAUAUAUUAGAAAUUUUCACUUUGUAAUCUUAAUUAAAUGGUUUUACUCGAUAAAAUAAGAGAUAACUUUUAAACAUAAAUUGAGGUAAAUAUUUUCAUACAUGAUCAAUUUAAUUUAAAAAUAAAACCAAUUAAAUCAAAUUUACAAAAUGAAAAGUGAUUUGAAAUCGAAUAUUAGAACCAAAUCGAUUCAAUCAAUUUUGCAAGUAAUUUUAGGUUAAUACAGUCUAAAUUUUUGUUUUGUUUUGUUUUUUUUUUUUUUUUUUUUGAACAUCACAUGAAACCAAGGCUGAACAUCACAUGUAUAUUUUAUAAUUUUUUCAUGCUUACUAUUUAUAUUAUUUCUCUUGCUCUCUCUAUUCUUGGUAAGCCAAUAUGUGGUAAAUGGUUUAAAAGUUAAAAUAUAUAUUUAUUUAUAAAAAUCUAAAAUAUAUACAAAUUAUUAAAUCAAUUAAAUAUUUAUUAUUUUAUUAUUUAAACUGAAAAAUAUCCAAAGGCUUAGAUAUCUAUAAAUUGCAACGAUCCACAUACACUUAUUUAAAAUAUAUAUAUAUUUGUUGAAGGACAUAAUUAUCUAUAUAUCUAUUUAAAAAAUUAAUUUUUCAGAAAUUACAUCCAAUCAAAUUAUAGAAGAAAUAAAAAAUAAAAAUUUUUAUUAUUUAUUAUUAUUUUCUUAAAAUCUUUUAAUUGGCUAUAAUUAAAAUUAUUUUAAGAUCAUUUCAUAACCCCUUUCCGUUAUUUCUCUAAUCAAGAUGGUUUUGUUUUCUUUGAAGUUAUCAUUUCUACUUCAUUUCAAAAGUUGCUUAUGUAAUUUCUUUUUCCCCAUAUCAUUAUAUAUAUAUUUUUCUCAGAAACAGCUGCAUAUUUCUGAAAAAAUAUCACAAAAAUCUUUAAGAAAACCAUAAAAUGACAUUUGUUUCUUUUAGUGGAAACAAUUGUUCCUCUUAUUCAUGCACUAAUAAUUCUAAAUGCGUGGCUCCGUGUUUGAAGCUCUAUUGGGUUUACCAAACUUUGUUGACUACUCCACGCAACAAUGCUCUUGUUUCAUGCUGUGACCUCUACUGCUAACAUUUUCUUUAGUAUCAAGAAAUAACCAUUAUCAUUUCUUGAUUUUCCAACCAUCUCUUUAGUCAAAAAAAAAAAAAAAGAAAAAAGAAAAAAGAAAAUACAUUCUUGUUUCUUGUGCCAAGUUCCUCCACAAAGAAAUAACCACUUAACUUAUAAGGGUUAAUUUCAUCAAAGGUCAACUGCUUUUUCUCUUGGUUGCUUAUUAGUCACUCAACUUUAAAAGAAUGAAAGGAUGUUAUCAAAAAUGAAAAGCAUAUCUACAAUAAAUGUACAGUUGAAAUUAAUGCUUGGCAUUUUGUAAGUCUAACAUUUGGACUAGUAGAGGAUGUUUGAGAGUUUAGUUUGGGUGUUCAUGAUUGUAAAACUAUUUUAAGUUAGCGGUGUUAUUGUUUUUGCUAGUUAUGUUAGAAGACAAUUUAAUAGAAUUUUUUUAUAAGAAUAUUCUAUUUUUAUGCUCGUUUUCAGAUUUAGAAUUUCAUCCCGAAUUAUUAAUGAGAUAGCCAAGUGAAUGUGUGGAUGAAUGUAGCAUUUGACCAAACAAAGCUACAUAUAUUAUUUGCACUAUGUGGAUAAAAUAUGGUAGUAAUGUUGAUUCUGAAUGGACAGCAAGAGCUAAGAGAAGAUCUAUCUAUCUUAAGCAUUUCCAUUUGAGGUAAUGGACGCUCACCCACUUCAAUGUCAUACCAAUACAAUAAGUUAGGCAACCUUCCACCACAAUUUAUUCCCUUAUUAGCUACUCCUCUGUAUGCAUUGUUUUCAGUGAGCUCAAAAAUUGAUAGAUAUUCAUUUUCAGAUAAAAGCUCCAUUUGACAUAUGUACAGUACAGUUAAAUAGGAGGUCCAAUGAAUCAAAAUAAUAUUAUGAGCUACAGCAUCCGUAGAUGAUAACUUUUCUUUAAAUUAUAUUCACCAAAUUAAUUAUAACUUUUGUGAAAUAGAUGAUUUGAAGUCGAGAUUUUUUAUUCAUGUCUUCUAUAAGAUGUAAAAAGACCAAUUAAACUACACUCGAUCGAGAUUUUAAAUAAUUAUAUAUUUAAACUGGUCAUAGAAUUAAAAAAAAAAAAAAAAUCGUUUGGGCUAUUAGGGCCUUAGUCCAAAGAAAGUACCUCAAUAUUACUCACACCAUUGUCCUCGUGAUCCCCAUCAUUGACUGAAAUAUGAUACUUUGAAUUUGACAGAAGUCUCUGAAGCAUACGGCUUCGCCAUCUUAUUUCCAUCGCAACAUUCCAAAUGUCAAUGCUCUUAUUAGGGAAUUUUCUAUAAAGUGAUCAUUGGUGCCAUUAUAGAAGCAUAUAAGAUAAAUGCCCUUGUAAUCUAUACACCUAAUUCUCUUGAAGUAUGGAGAGUUGAUGUGACAUUAUAUCUCUUUUUCAAUAUAAUUAAUCCUUUUUUCAUUUAAUAAAUAUUGAAUUUACCAUAAAGGAUGAGAUGAGAUAAUUGAAAUCUAUUUUCCCUUAAUUAGAGCUCUUGAAUUUGAGUCCUGAGUAUGAAGAGUUCUUUUAAACACUCGGAAAAGAAUGUUUUGCCCCUUUAUGGGCCAGAAGGCUUCGCACUCCGAUAGUUAAAAUAAAAAAAUAAACAUUAAGUUUUUUUAAAAAUAUUAGAGUUACAAGUUAACGGAAUUUACUGAAGUUAUAACAGGGUUAUAAUUAAUAAACACUAGCUAACUAAUGAAAUUUAAUAGAGUUAUAACUUAUAGUAAUAGAUUUCAUUAUAAUUAAUUCUUUUUUUUUUUUGCAUUUAAUAAAUAUGAAAUUCAAUGAAAUUACAAACUAAUGAAAUUCAAUGGAGUUACAACUAAUAGAUAUUAACUAAACAAUAUAUAAUUUUUAAUUUAUUAAAAUUUCACCAUACAUAUCAUUUAAUUAUAAAAAAAAGAGUGUUUCAAAUUAAAUAUAUGAGAGUCCCAAAAGAAAAAAAUAAAUAAUUCUAUCAGUUGAAUUAACCACAAUAAUAUAUUAUGCUAAUAAAUACUCUCAGCUUAUUACUUCAGACUCAAAAUAAGUGUAUAAUUUCACUUUUUAUUCAUUAAUCAAAAUAUUUAAUAACUAGUUAUCGAUUAAAAAAAUUCUCAAAAAAAAAAAUCGAAUUCAAAUUGAUUAAAAAAAUAUAUAAUUAUAUAAUCCUCUAUCGUAUGGGUUCAUAACUAGUUAUCUAAUAAUUCCCCAUUAAAAAAAUUAAUUCAAACAUAAAAAUUCAUUUUAAAAAAAUUAUUAAUUAAUAUAUACACACACGCAUUCGACUCUGUGUCUAUCUGCAAGUGUGGAGAGAGUAGUUAGUAUAUAUAAAGUCCAAUUUCUCUGCAAAUUUUAUUGGUGAGCUAUUAAUUAUUGUCUUGAUCUGAAUGGGUGGUUAGAAGAAUUUGUAAAUGAAAAGCCACGUCCUUGCAGAAUAUAUUCAAACGUCUAUUUUUCACAACCGUCUAAAUCUAGUAUUUGAUUCUAUUCUAUCACAUUGUAAUAUUUGUUUGGAAUAUUUCAUUUUCCUAUCUUAAAAUUUGACUCUUAACUUAUAACUAUUUUUCAAACUAAUUUCUUUUACUUCUUGUUAAUUUAUCAGGCAUUGUCGGCAAAUGGCUUCACGAAACAAAAGACUCCCAAAGACCUUGGACAUUAAACACGUUAUUUACUUAUUCUAAAAUCUGAUUAAAGGUUAUUGUGAAAGAGAAAAUUAUUAUAUGUUAGUUUGUUUUAAAGGUAAAUAUGAAAUUUACAAGCCAAUAAACUACAGGUCGGGCUUCUUACUUUAUAUAAGAAUGUGGAAAAUAGGGGUAGGGUUGCAUGGUUUUAGGGGAAUCGAAUCGAAUUGAACCGUAAAACUAACAGGAUCGAACUGGAAUCCAAACCGCCCAACCUUGGACAACAACCCAGAUUUUUAAUAGAAUAUGCUUUUAUUUAACUAGAAGUCAACAUUCGCAUGGUUGUAAGAUUCUAUUCGCCCUCCUACAAUGUGUAAAUAUAAAAGCUCAAAUAUCUCAUCUUCUAUUAUAGUAAUGAUUUAUAACAGUUUGUCAAGUGUAGUUUGAUCGCCUUUAUAAUAAAAAUUUUUGAGUUAGAAUUCUUUUCAUUAUAGAGAAUUUUUACCAAUUCAGUAAAUAUUAUUUAAAAAAAAUAUAUUAUUUUUAUCGUAAUAUCAUUUAAAUUUUAGCGUAAAACCUCAAAUACAAUUUAUUUUGAAUUAAAGAAAUGAAACAAAAACCAGAUGAUAUUUUACAGGGCAUGUUAAAGUAUCUGGCAAAUUAAAUAGUUAUAUGAUAAGUCUAAAGCUUGAAAUAUAAAAAAGCAAGGUUGGGCAAACCUAGCUAGAGUGAAUAUUCAAAAUAGCUUUCUUUCUAUUAUUGGAUUUGGAUAUGUACAAGUAAUAAUCAUAAAUUUUAUGAUUAUAUAUUUAUAAAUUUAUAACAUGUGUAACUUUUAGUUAUAAAUUAUAAAUUUUAUACAAGUAAUAAUCAUGUCAUCAUUUAGGAAUAAUCACUCCAUUGAUGAUGACUCAUUAUUGAGUAUUUAGUCCACAAUAUUACUUGUGUGUUUAGAACAUUUCCAUGUUGCACUUUUUGGAUAAAGGUUGGAUUUGACUCUUAUUUUUUAUUCAAUAUUUAAUUUUAUCCAACAUAUUUUAUUUAAGCAAUUUGAAAUAUAAAGUUUAUAUAUUGUUAAUUUGUCUUAUUUUUAGUAAAAAAAUAAGAACUGUUAAGUUUUCUACUUUUAAAAUGAUUAAAAAAUUAAAAAAAUGUGAAAAUUGAAAUUAGUUUGCAAAAAAAAAAUGGAAGGAAAAAUUGUUUCCUUUCCUUCUUUCUCUUUUUUUUUUUUUUUGAAUUUUAAAAUAUUUUUAAAAUUAAAUAAUUUAGUAUUUUAUGGUUUUUUUUAUUAAAAAUAGGGUAAAAUUAAUCAUAAUUUAAAUUAAAUUGGAUAUGGUCAAAAUUUAAAGGUGAAACUGAUCGUUUAUUCUAAACUUUUUUUAUGUGGCCGUCUGUCACUAUCUCUAAUGCCAUCUCACAUGGUUGCUACAUGUCCCAAACUUUUACUGUUUCGAAUAGCAUGACACCAGUAAUUAACUCAUAAUAUUAUUCAUUUAAUAGGGCAAACAAUUCCAAUUCCCACUUGGUCGGGCAAAAUUUUCUUUUUAUUGUAAAAAUCAUUAUUUGAAAUUAGAUUUUACUUAAAAAAAAAAAAGAAAUUAUAUCCAUGUCUAAAAACUCAAAUACGUAACCUUCUAGCAUUUUAAACUUUAUUAAGAACCUAUUUUUAAUUAUUUAAUAAAUAUUUAAUGAAUUCAAUUUUAUAAAUUAAAGUGUUUAAUAAAUAAAAUUAAAAAAUUAAUGUGUUAUAAAAAUAUAUAAAUUUAUGGAUUCAAAUAUAUUUAUAAUCAAUUUUCAAUAUGUAUCAAACUCCAGUGGCAAAGUCACAUAUAUGACAUUACAAUGACGAGCCAGGACUGAAGAUUGAGGGAAACAAAAAAGAUUUCAAAAGUUAAAGGGGCAAAAUAAAAAAGAUGCACUUUUUUUUUUCAAUGGAUAAAAGUGAAACAUUUUAUAACUUUAAUUGGCAGAAUUUUAAAAUUUUUUUCCUAAGACGGUGGGACCAGGGCUAGGUAUGGCCGGUUUAAAAAUUUUAAAAUGUUGAACCUGAAUCGGUGUUUGAACCGCCAGUUCCAGUUUCGGCCGAUUCCGGUGCGGUUCCGAUCACGGUUUCUGGCGAUAUAAUUUUUUUUAAAAAAAAAAAUCGGUUCUAACGUUAUAUCUUUCUUUUGAAAUGUUAAUAUGAGUUUAAAAAUUAUUGAUAAAUUUUAUUUUAAAUAAAUUUUAAAAUGAUCUUACUCAUAUAAGAAUAAAAUUAAUUAAUUUUACAAAAUAAUCAAAUAAAUUAUCUCUCUAUUUUGUUUAAAUGUUAUUAAUUAAAUAAAUUAUAAGAAACUUUUGAAAAAUGCUUCAAAAGAAUGUAAUUUUCAAUUUAGUAAAUAAUUUAAAAGGGUAAAAAAAAGUUAAAAACAAUAUAAGUUUCGACUAAAUAUUUCUCUCUUUUUUUACCAUUUUACUUUUUAGAUUUUUAGUUUUUAAAGUAAAUUGUAUUUAAAAAAACAAUCUUAAGUAAAGUAUAUCAUGUAGUAAAAUAUUAUUGAGACUUUUAAAGAUGUAUCAAAUAGGCUAAGUGAUUAUCAUUUUGAAAAUAAAAAUAAAAAGUUUUCGGUUCAAACCGGACCAAAACAGCCGAUUAACCGUCGAUUCAGAGCCAGUUCAGGUUCAGAUUUUAACAUUCACAUGAAUUUUAACAAGCCCUUGAACCACCGAUUUCGGUUCAAAACUUUGAACCGACGAUUUCAGUCUAAUUUCGGUUCUUCUACAGUACAGUUUGGUUUCGAUUCGGUUACAGUUAACCAGGACUAUUAGACUAGUCCCCUUCCUCUGUCAGUGACAAAAAAGGCAGUUGUCUCCCUUAAUCACUUAAAAGAACAAAAUUUUAUUUUGCAUAUCCUGAAAUUUAGUUUUGCAAUUAUUACUUUAAUUUAGAUGCAUAAAAUUUUGUUUAUUUAAUAUGCAUUUUUACUUAAUUUUGCUCAUGGUUGGUGACUCGGAACCCUAUGGAAAUUAAUUCCAAGAACUCUAUGACAAGUUUUGGAAGAGAUCAAAGAUUAAACUACACUCCCCUCUAUGGCAUCCAAAGCUUAAGGAAGCAAGAACCCCAAAAAAAAAGUAAAAAAAUAAGAUAAACGCCACAAAUAAAUUGAUAAGUUUACCUUGAUUCUUGAUGCAAUUAGAAGAAUGCACUCUCACAAUCUCUCUAAUAAAUGGAACACGCUAAAGCAUGAACAAAUUUGAAGAAUUUCUAUUUCAUUGAAUUGUGUUUUAUUUUACAAUAUAGCUAGCUAUUUAUACUAAAUCUAAGAGGUCCUGAUCCUUAUAGGAUUUAGAAUAAUUAAUCUAAAUCAGCUAAGAAUAAGGAUUUAACUAAUCUAAACCAACUAAGGAUAAUGACUAAUUAAUCUAAUCCAACUAAGGAUAAUGAAUAACUAAUCCAAAUAACUAAGGAUAAAGAAUAAUUAAUCCAAACUAAUUAAGGAUAAGGAUAAUUAAUCCAAACCAACUAAGGAUAAAAAUAAAAAAGGUGGCCCAAUUUAUUGGUGGCCCAACCCAUUAACAACAUUACAACUCAAAACUAACAAAAAUAGGCUAACUUAUCAGGCCAAAGUUAGGCUCUAGUACGGUCAGGGCGUGCUACGCCAUCAACAUAUGCCUCCAAUAAUAUAAGAAGCCUAGGUGUGCCUUCAAGUUCCACACAACACUUGUUGAAAGCAAGAUCAUGAAGCUCUUGUGUAACUUGGUCUUGAACAUAUAAGGACAUGACUGCCCCAUAUUUCUUUGUAUGACUUCUUGUAAUUGGUCUACUAGGAAAUACUAAUGGAUUUUCCAUAUUGUUCUUCUUAUUCCCUUGAACUCCAUGGAUAAGUGAUGGUAGAUCCGUAUCAGUUGGACUUGUGUUGGAUGUGCGUACAUAUCUUAAAAGCCUAUCAUAAUUCACUAAAUCAGUAAAAAUUCUUAUAGUCGAGGGAAUUUGAAUUCGAAGCAUUUCACUCCUCAAACUAGUGAUAAGAUCAACUAGACAAAUAUAAAUAUUUUAUUUAAUUCCAUAAUUAUGCUAAAUUCUUAUUGUUUGGCAACAACUAGUUAAGGUAAGGACCAACGCAGCUGGUGGAUUGUAGGCACCGUCCAUAGAAAACAAAAGUGCUUAUAAAAAAAAAAUUAUAUAUUACAUUUAAAAUAUAAAAAGUUAUUUUGUCUAAGGGUGAGCAUUCGGUUUGGCUAAUCUAAUUAGUUCGAUUAAUUUAGUUAAUUCGGUCAAUUUGAUUCGAUAAAUAAAUAUUCAGUUAAAAGUUUAGUUAAAGAAAAUUAAAAUUUCGGUGAUCGGUUAAAAGUUUAGUUAAAAUUUAAUUUAACCAAAUUAAUCAAAUUAACUGAUCCUCAAAACUAUAUCGUUUUGAUUAAGUAGAUAAUAAAAUUAAAAAUAUUUCAAUUUUUAUUUGGAUUAAACAGUGAUUAAUAACUUUGGUUAAUUUUUAUUUAAAAAUAUUUCAAUUUUUAUUUAGAUUAAAUAGUGAUUAAUAACUAUGGUUAAUUUUUAUUUCAGUUAAAGUCAGUUAAUAAUAAGUUUCAAUUAAAUUCGAUUGGUUAAUUAAAUUUUCAUUUUUUAUAGCUUCCAUUCGGUUAAUGAUCAAAAUUAAUUCGAUCAAAACUGUUGGGUUAAGUUCGGUUAAAAAAUUAAUUCAGUUAAGUAAAAAAAAAAUUCAAUUAAUUUAUUUCAGUUAAAAAUUUUACUCAAACCCACCGAAUUGAGUGAAUGCUCGCACCUAGUUUCGCCCAUAAAAAAAUUUUAAAACUUCUAUUUUCCCCCUCCUCUAAAGUCUAAACUUUACUUUCUAUAGUUCUACCCCCGAGGUAAGUGCCCCAUUUGAUUGAGUGGUUGAGAAUUAGCAUCUGGCUUUUGAAUUCCCAGCUUCUAGUUAGGAGAGUUUUGCAAUUUUAGCAUUUAACACAACAUUUCACAAUUCAGCUAUUAGAUGUUCAAAAUUAUAACUGAUAUUCUUAGCUACUACGUCAUGAUACUUGUCAUUUCAUAUUCUUUAAAAAAAACUAUUAAAUUUAUUUAAAUUACAAUAAAUGAUCGAGUAAACUGACUAUUAUCUUUAAUUUAUGCUAAUUUUCUAAAAACUCAUUAAAUUUGAGUAAUAAUUAUUGGUCAUAUAUAAAGGAUAAAUAUGAAAAAAUUUAUUACUCAUUGAAAUCAUAUAUGUGGCUAAUAUUUUGAAACAAACUAUUUUCUUAAAUGUGACAGAUACUGUAUAAUAGAGAUAGUAUAAAGGAGGAUUUAGUGUUUGAAUUGCUAACUGCUAAUAGCUAGCCGUAAAUUGAAAACUGUCAAUACGUGCUCUAAAUGUAUAGAAUUACAUGGAAAGGUCAAAAUCAAUAAACUUAGUGAUUAUGGAUCAUCUCUUGAUUUACGAGAUUAUGAGUUAACUAAAAUACAAAAAAUCAAAUUACUCAAAUUAAAAAUUUAAUCUAUCUUGACAUCAAUUGUGUCAUUUUUUAAACACCUAAACUACCAAAUUUUGAAACGUGGUCCUAUAAUUAGAUUACUAAAUAAAUCAAAUCAAAGAAUUUGAAAAGCUGUUGAUUUCAAUCACUUAUCUAACUUUGGCUUGAAGCAUAUAACAAACUAAAUUGAUGUGAAAACCCAAAUUUUUACAAAAGAAAAAUCCCCAUUUCCUAAAUAUUAGUAUCCACUUGUCAUUUUCAUAAAAGCCAAACUCACCAGUUGCUUAUGCUACAAGAAUUUCAUUUUCCAAAGAAACAAAUAGUCUUGAUGGCUUCCCAAAUACCAUGAACUAGAGGUGGCGGCAUCUCAAUUAUUUAAUUAAUCAAAUAUAAUAAUCAAAAAUUCAAAAAAAAAAAAAAAUCCAAUAAGCUGUUGGUUAGAUGGUUAGCAAUAUAAUUUCAAUCCCUCUAAAAGUGAGAACACAAAUUCGAUCAUCGGAAAGCUUAUUUUGCCAAAAAAAACUAAAGACUUUUAUAUUUUUCGGUCCUAGCCGAUAAAUCCUAGUUAUAAAAAACAACACAUGCAUCAGAAAAUACAGUACACAUCUUUAUUUAUUAUUAGUCAAAAGAGCCCCACACCGUGUUCAAAUUCUCAAGCAUUAUAAAUAGAUCCUAUCAUGCAAUUCUCUGUCUAACUUGAAAAUGGGCAAAGAACAAAAAAUUUUUAAUACCCUUUUGUCCAGUCUUUUUCUUGGCUGUCUCUUGUUAAGUAGUAUGCUUUAUAGCACAGAAGCAAGAAGGUUGUUUAGCAGUACCUCUUCUUCUUCAAGGUUACAUGAAGAUGUUGUUAGAGAGAUUGAAGGUGUAAUGAAAGGAUUGUCUCUUGCAGCUGUAAAGAAGUCAGGGCCAAGCCCUGGUGUCGGGCAUAAGUAUGAAAAUUUGCAAACUAUAGGAGUGGUUAAGGAGGGUCCUAGCCCUGGUGAGGGACACAAAUAAUUACUGCCAGGGAACCAUAACAAUAUAUAGUUGCAUUGAUGUAUAUGCCAAAGGGAGAUAUUCUUUUUUUUUUUUUUUUUUUUUCAAGUUAGUUCUUCGUUUAGUUUCGAACAGAGGUUCGAAAUCAAGAUUUCUUAAGUUGUGGAGAUGAUUACAACACUAUUUAAUUAAAGCUUAUUAUUUCCCCCUCACCCGAUAUAUAUGUAGAAUAUUAUUCAUAGUAAAUGACAUCGGAGUUUUAUUAUAAAUUUGUAAAGAAAUAAAUUUUAAAAUGCUAUACAAACAAUAAUUUUUCUUGAAUACUAGAUUAAUGAAAACACUUGUGGCCAUUAGGAUUUGGAUUCGAGACUUCUCAUUCC
rnacentral:lncRNA from 1 species